GGAUAUGCUGUUAUGGAUAAAUAGAUAUACGGUUAUAGGUAUGGUUAACCGUUUAUAAAUAGUUAUGGGUAUACCCGUUUAUGUAAAUACCCAACGGGUAAACAAUUAUAUGGGUAAAAAUUUAAACGGUUAUGGGUAAAUAACCGUGGUUACCCACCCGCCAUAACUGUUGCCCAUCGCUAGAAGUACUUGGUAAGUGUCGAGUUACAGCGUUCGAGUUAGAGGAGCAACAAUUACCGGGAGGACCGCAAUAAAAACACAAAUUGUAAUGCUUUGGAGAAUUAGCAACUGUUUUUCCUUAGCACUUGAACAAUGCAAAAGAUUUAUGAUACAUCAUCCAUACAUGACCAAUGACAAAGAAACUUAUUCUUUUAUCUAGGCAGAGGCCUAGUUCAAAUCACCGUCAAUUUUUGGAAGCUAACAAGCAAGAUAAUCUAGUGAAAAGUCGAAGCCUGAAAUCUGGCCGGAAAUCUGUAACGACAAAGAAAAGAUAAGAAUGGUUUCACAAAGUCCGGAGAUGAUAACAGAAUAUCAACAAUGCAAUGAAAUCGUGAUGUAGGUGAUCCCCAACUUCCCCCCAUUUUUCUGCAUUUCACUGCAGCCCAAACUUACCCACCUGCGUGAAGAAAACAUAAUAAGUACACCAAUUAUAACUGCAGACCUCUUCACUUACAUACAACAUUGAACAUAUCACGACACGGAAAUUUUGGACUCCAUGUCAAGCAACAAAGUUCACAAUCCAUGUUAAAUCUGCAUGAAGAGUGAUGCUAGCAAAGCUCAGUAUUCAAGUCAUUCAACAGAUUCGACUUAAAUGUUCAAAACAAAAUGAAGGUUUCAGCAAGACCGCGCAAGCAACCUUCUUAGCUCCAUCACCCAACUCCAAACUCAAAAUCAAAUGAGUAGACUGAGUAGAUUGACAGACUUCAAGAUCAUACCAACAGGCCCGAAUACCAGAAUGCAUUUAUACACAAUAUUCUCAUGCUCUAUGCUUAGAUUGACAGACUUCAAGAUCAUACCAACAGGCCCGAAUACCAGAAUGCAUUUAUACACAAUAUUCUCAUGCUCUAUGCUUUCUCAAGUUGAACCAUUACCAAUUUGUUUACCAUAAUUCUAUUUCCGAAAGUUACUGUAGAUCUACCAAGUUAAAGAUGACUCAACUUGCUCAGACCUUUCAAUGAACUGUCCAAAAACUUAGAAGCUAGCAAAUCCAACACGACACAGAAAGCCGUGCAAAAUGGAUAAAAGACAUUAUAUGCGAAAAAUCAUAAUGGAAAAAAGCCCCACAACGCAAUAAAGGAAGUUGCAGGGGUAAAUCUUCCGAAGUUUGUAGAUUCAUGUCUUUGGUAUAUACAUGUUUAUUACCUGAAUCGAAGUAACCCUCGCCAGGUAGCAAAUAUACAUCAGAAUUGGAUUGAGCAUUCUAUCAAUUUUCAAAAACUCAAACUGAUAAGCAUUUGUUCCAGCUGACAGUCACGAUUCGACUCAAGCCUCAAACUAAGAAACUAAAGACCAUAGCUACACCUACACCUAUUAGGUUUCACAUUUCAGAAAUUGAGUUGUUUCCUAGUGUUUUUUGUCUGAAUAAAACUCCAACCUAAAGCCCUAAAUCAUAUGCCUCACCAGAAUCAAAAAACAAGAACCCGACUCUUAAUUCACAGCGAAAACGAGCAAAUGGAAUCGAAAAGACCCAAUCUUGAACAAAAUUUCACCCCAAAAACUGAACUUUCAAAUCCAAACAAUAAAAAAUUGCAAUCAGAUUAUCAAAUUGGGAGCUCAAAACACAAGAAACAGUACCUGAAACCGAUCACUCGGACUCCACCGGCUCCGGCUUCGGACCUGAAAUUCCCAUAAACAAAAACAAAAUGUCAAUUAAUUGAGAAAACUGACAAACGACGGGAAAGGAUAGGGUACGGUGGCGGACCAUGGAACUCGUAAGGACGGUGGUCCUUCCCCCAACCGAUGCCGCGAGUGGACUCGAGGUACUGGUGGACGAGGUGGCGGCACUUCUGGAGGUGGUUGACGCCUUCGAUGCGGUAGCACCAUCGGAGCUUCUCCCUGAUGAUCUUGGCCUUCUCGAUGUCGAUCCACUUCUCCCGCACCAAGUGCUCCCUCAUCUCAAGCAUCGCCACCGGGUCCUUGUACGGAUUCGCCGGAUCAAAGUCGUCCGGCGGCGACUCGUCGAAGUCCACCACUCCUUUCUUCCGCCCCAUUUUCCUCUCGCACUUCUAGAUUGCUCUCUCCCUCUCUCCCUCUCUCCCUCUGUGUUCUGGCUUUGAUUUUCGGAGCUCUGCAGCUGCUUCAGGUGGUUGAGCUUUUGGGUAUUUGGGCUUACGAUUGAUCAGGCUCUGGUUUUGGGCUCAUCUCCAUUGAUAAAGCACUAGGCCCAUUCAGGAUACUUUUGUAGUAAGAAAACGGGUUUGUCUUCAGUAGUCCGACAUUUUAUUAAUUAGAUUAGCAAGUUGACAAAAAAUAGUGUUUCAAUAAUUCAAUUAUGGCCAACUAUUUCUUGCUACUAAGUAGUUUGGACUAUUGAAGAAAAAUUGGUAAGAAAACAUGUUCACUUCGAAGUGUAUUUCCGUGUUAGUGAUUUGCCCACUCUAUUUUUAUCGCUAAGCAUCUCUUUUUAUUUGAACUUGAGUGCAAGUGAUUAGGUAUACUUCCUUAAUCAACUGGUCUAACAUGCAACUGCCUAAUUAAGACAUGCAACUGCCUAAUUAAGAGAAACAACGGAAAAAAAAAGAGUGCAAAAGAAGAAAUGAGUGUGACAAUCAGUAUUUGUUUCUCCUUCUAAUAGGCUUAAAAUUUGUGUGAUGGUUCAAGAGCAACUCAAAAUAUUAUUCAUAUCUUUCUUCGUCAUUUGAGAUACACAAAAUGUUAUGGCCAAAGCCGUUUAUCUAGCAUCCAAGUGCUUCCUAAAGCAACUCCUAGAUCGAGUACUUCACCAAAAAACACUUAUAUGACCCAAAAAAAAUUGUAGUAAAAAAUAAUUCUAGUUGUCAAAAAAACUAUUUUUAACUACAGUUGGGCACGGGCCGGGUUGGGCCUAAAUCUGGAGGAACCUGUUUUAAAAUGUAACGGGCCGCAUGGGCCGGUUAGAGGGAUUUUGAGUUUGAGAACCAGACCUAACCCCACCUGUUAGAAAUGGGCCGGUUUGGGGCAGGUCCAUGAGUCCAAUUACUUUAUUUUUAUUUAUUUAUUUUUUCCGGUUUUGGGCAUACUACCAGUGUCUUUUUUCUUUCUCCUCUUCACAUCAUCUCCAUUCUCUCCUCUUCCCCUCUUCCAAAUAAAAAACUGAAGCAAUCACCAUUUCUCGAUAAUUGCAUCACCUGGGCCUUUACCAUCGUCGUUGUCUUCAACAUUAAUUGUCUCUCUGUCUGCAACUUCUGUCUUCUCUCUAUUUGCAAUUUUAAUCAGCUUCAACGUCAUCGUUUCACGAUUCGAUGACAGGUAUCCACCUUUUCCCAAUCUUUGACUCCUUCGCACUUUCUUGUAUUUAGUUCAUCAGAUCUAAUGGUUUCUCAACUUGCAGGUGUUGAGAGGCAGCGGAUCCAAGAUAUUGUCAACAUCUUGGACUUGGGACUUGGGAUAGAAGGAGAAGGAGUCGAAGAGGCUUUCAAGUUGGGAACUAAAAUGGCUUAUUAAAGAAGGUUAGGAAGACGGGGUUUGUGGACUAGAGGUCGUUUUGGUGAAUUGAUGAUGGUUUGAGUUAAGUGAUGUCGUCGAGGAGAGGAGUGGGAAAAGAUUAGCCGAGUGGGAGGUGGGAGAGGAAGGAGAGACUAGGUCACUUAGAGAAACAAGUCCAAUCCAACGAGUGCGAUUGGAUUGAAGAUUGUUGAUCAUUCCAUUUUAGAAACGGGUUGGUUCGAGGCCCCGUGAUUUUAAAGAUUUAGACCCGGCUUCGCCAUGUAAAUACCACCACCCCGCCCCGCCCCGCCCCACCUCGCCCCAUUUCUUCUAUAAAAAAAUAAGACCCGCCCCAUACCCGCGUAUACCAGUCCUGACCCGUAGGUCCUUGACCUGUUUGCCCGCCCCUACUUUUAACCCUUCCAAACGCAAUACCAAACAGAUCCUUAACUCACAGGCCUACUAAUUUCAUGGGCCAGGGAUGGAUUUGGGCCAUGGAAUUGAAAAUUCAAGACCAAUUUCAACCUGACAUCGACGACCACCAAUAGGUAGCACAGAAGACGGAGGGGUGGAAGACAGGUGGCAGAAACCCAUCUGAUGGAAUUAGAGACGUAGAGCUGAGAGAGUUGUGCUCCUAAUUUCGCGCACUAGUUCUUACCUCUCAUGGAAGAUCAACGGUGCACGGAAACUACGAGGAAACCAAAAUACACCAAACAAUAAACAUCUGAACAAGACAUGAUUAAAAGUAAAAAUAAUUAAAGUAAAUGAUAAAAAAAAAAAAAAAUUGGUCUAACCUUAAUCAACGCCGCAUUAGCUUGUCGUCUCUUUGAGUUUUCUCAGGUGGGACUCUCUGUCUUUUCUUUAAUUCACAUUUUCCUGGAUUUCCUUCGCUGCAUUUUGAUCAUGAUGAUCAACAUUUGUUCAUGUGUGUAUGAAUAGUUACGGCCCGUUUGAUGACCAUUUUGUUUUUAGGUUUCGUAUGAAUAGCUCAAGGCAUGCAGCGUGCUUGGUAACCUUUUCGUUUUUAGAUUCAUAUGUAUAGCUAAAAUGGUUUGUUUGAUAACCAUUUUGAUUUUCGUAACCAAUUGUUGAAUGAUUAUGGGAUUCUAAGUCAAGUUAUAUGCUUCUGGGUUGUUCCAUUUUCCGCUCUCUUUACAUGCUUACAUACGUUCUCUUGUAGCUAGUGUGAAGCUCGGGCAAAUUGUCUCUCACAUUUUGUUUUUGCUUUUUUUUUAUUUUUAUUUUUUAUAUUUUUUAUAUCCGAUUUUCGAAGUUCUAACCAGAUGUUCAUAAGUUUUUCUUUUCUUUUGUGUGUGUGUAUAUGAUUGCUGGUGCAACCCCAGCUUAAUCUUCAUCCCCUUUCGUUUGGAACUCGAUAGCAUUUCUCCUACGUGUUUGUUUCUUCGAGAGAUUGUUUGUUCACUUUACGCAGUUCAUUGUUAGUACCCUUACAUCAUUAACGCGUUUCUAACUCGCAGGGUUACUCUUUUUCAACAGAUGAUUAAUGUUUUUUAGCAUGAGUUUAUAGUUAAGCUCCAAAGCUAGACGCCACUCCAAGUAGCUGAUCAUGGAUUCCACAUCAAAUUACAGCAGAAAAGAAAAUGUAGGAGCCAGCAGCCCAAGUGUUCCUGCUACAGGGAAUAGUUUCGAACAAGUUGUAAAUCGUAAUGGUGAGACUGAAGGUGAGGAAAUCUAGCCAUCUCCAUUUGUUCCUGAUAUACUCUCCAAUGCGAGUCAAUGAUCUUAAAUUUUUCCCCGUUUUGGAAUUUUAUUUUGCAGGGAAGCGGAGAGCGUACUUAGUAGAGUGGUUAAAUAGUUUAGUUCCUAAUCUAGGUUUACCAACAAAUGCUUCAUACGAGGACUUGCGAUCGUGCUUGAUCGAUGGUACCGUUUUAUGUCUGAUGUUGAAUAGGCUUAGACCUGGUCUUGUUGAUAAGGUUAGUUGAUAACUUGAUAGGCUUUCCGCGGCCCUUUUUUACUUGAAGAGUUAUUCGACAAGUUGGUGAUCGAAUGUCUCGUUUUGUAACUUCAACGUUCAUAGAAUUCGAUGUCACCCUCAGAAAAUGUUGCAAGGUUUCUGGCAGCUAUGGAUGCAUUAGGGCUGCCGAAGUUUGAUAUGUCCGACCUAGAGAAGGUAUCUGUCGAUGUAAUUUGUAUGCAUACAGCUCCCCUAUCAAAUUAAACAAUUUCUAUACGUUCGCUGACAUUCAAAUAUUAUCCAGGGGUCUAUGAAGACUGUCACAAACUGUCUUUUAACACUUAAAGCAAAACUUAUGCCAAAUGUUAUGGGAGAUGGUAUUACUAUAACUAGUCCGACGACUAAAUCUGGCAGCCAACCUUCCCGCUUCCAGCUUUCUCAAUUAUCUGUAGAUGAGAGGCGGAAGGUCCUGUCUGAGUCAAAAUUUCAGCGCGCAUUGCAUAGUCCUGUUAUGGCAGGUCUGGCCAUUGUGUUGUACAUAUCAAACUUUAUUUUUGACAAUACACUUGUGUUUGUUUAGUUGAUUAACUUUUACAUGAUGUUUUCGUCAUUCAAACAGUGGGUUUGACGCAAAUUUACCUUCAGCAGAGACAUCGCCUUCACGAAUGCAUCAUGUUGGGCAUAAGUUCCAUGAGGUGUUGCAGUUGAAGCAAGGAAGCUACGCGGAUCUUCCUGCUGCAAAAAUUUCAGAAAUGAUGAAACCGAACAGUUUAGAUGUCAGUCAUCAAUGGACCCUGAAACUGAAUCAGGUUUUCCUUUUGUGAUCUCUUCAGUUUAAUGUAUUUUUAAUGCACUUCAGCAUCUCUUGCUGCAGAACGCUCCAACGCAGUCACUUUUGAGUGUCGUAAAUGGAAUCCUCGAUGAAGGUGUUGAAAGAAAGAAUGGUGAAAUACCUCAUGUAUGGAAAUCCGAAAGCAAAUGAUUGUUAAAAAAAUAAGUUCAUCACGUACAAUAUUCAAGAAAUAUGGAGUUUGAAAAUCUGCUCUUACACAUUGCGUUUGUGGCACAGCGUGUGUCUUGCCUUCUGCGAAGAGUUGUCCAGGAGAUUGAGCGGCGAAUAUCAACUCAGGCGGAGCAUUUAAGAACUGUAAUAUGCUUUUAUGAGUACUUACCACCGAUAGCCUUAUUAAGAAGUGCUUUGCGUUAAUUUUUUUUUAUGGUUUCGUGCAGCAAAACAACCUUUUUAAGGCUCGUGAAGAGAAAUACCAGUCAAGAAUCAGAGUACUUGAAACACUUGCAUCCGGAACCAGUGAGGAAAGUGAGGUAUGAAACAUUUUUCGGAAGAUUAGAUCAGGAGUUGACAGCUUCUCGUAAACAUGUUUCAAUGUGGUACCGAUGUCUUAUUUUCAAAGUGUGAAUUUUCUGGUACAGCUUAUGAUGAACCAUCUUCAGCAAAUAAAGGUAUAUUUUGCAGACAAUAAAAAGCAUAUUGCUGGUGUUUAGGUGUUUAAGCAGUGAAAGAAUACGUAUAAUUUUACUUGCAAACUGCGGUUACGAGGAUUUGCUCAUUAUAUAAGUUUAUGAAUAUGAUUAAGUGGGAAUGUUUACAAUUGGCAGAGUGAGAGAACCCGAAUGGAAGCAAAGAAGAAAACCGAUGGCGAGGAUGUGAAUGUGAUCAGAUUGAUGAAAGAGAGGGAUCAAGGCAACCUUGAAAUUUCAGGAUUGAAGCAAGAGUUGGAUAUAGCAAAAAAGACAUAUGACCUGCGUUGCUUGCAAAUGGAAAUGGAAGAGAAGGGUGCUAGAACGGAGCUUGAAGAGAGGAUAAAAGAACUCGAACGUCUCUUGGCAGAGUCAAGGAGUAAGGUGAAAGAGCUCCAGGCAAAUUCUGAGUCAAAACAUCAGUCUAAUAGAGCAGAACUUGAAGAGAGAGUAAAAGAACUUGAACGUUCUUUGGAAGAAUCAAGGAAUAAAGUGAAAGAACUCGAGGCAAGUUCCGAGUCCAAAUAUCAAUUUUCUAAAGUAGAGCUUGAAGGGAGAAUAAAAGAACUUGAACGCCUCUUGGCAGAUUCAAGGAAUGAGGCGAAGCAGCUUGCAACGAAUUCAGAGUCAAAAUAUAAAAGUUGGAGCAAGAAACUGCGUGAUUACGAGAACUCUAUGGACCUUCAACUUGGUUCACUAAAGGUAUCUUUAGAUCAAAUUGUAUUUUCAGCUUUAAUGUAUAUGAUGAAUAGUACGCAUUUCAAAUCAAUUUAUGAAAUAUUCAGGAAUUAAGAUUAUCUUCGGAGUUCAUUAAGCAAGAAGUUUUGACGGCAGAACACAGUUACGCGGUGGACUUCAAUCACUUAGGUAGGGUUGUCUAUUGGAAGCAUUCGUCUGUUUCGUGCAGUUUGUGCUAGAAGAGUUUCAUGCUUUAUAACUUUGUUUUCCAGGAGUGAAACUUCAAGCAUUAGCAGACGCGUCUGAGAACUAUCAUGCACUUCUCGCUGAAAACAGGAAGUUAUUUAACGAAAUUCAGGAUUUAAGAGGUGCUACAAAAUAAAUUAGCGUUACUGUGGUUACAUCUUACGGAAAAUAUUAGAGUUCACUUCUUAACUUUCUUGCACAGGAAACAUCAGAGUUUACUGUCGAAUAAGACCAUUUCUUCCUGGAGAAAAAGAAAAGAAGACGUUGGUAGAACGUAUUGGUGAAAAUGGGGAACUGGUAGUUGCAGACCGCUCCAAACCAGGGAAGGAGGGUCAUCGAUUGUUCAAGUUUAACGAGGUCUAUGGUUCAGAUGCAAGUCAAGGUUCUCUAUUUUGUGUCUGUAAUGUUGGAUACAUAUUUUUCGAUUCAUCUGUUCGUUCUCCUCGAAAAUGAUUCUUCUUGAAUUGAACAUGAUUGUACAGUGACAUACAUUACUAUGCUGAACUUUGAGCAAUUUAUUUAACUGUGGCAGGCGAAGUAUACGCUGACACACAACCAUUGAUACGAUCUGUGCUUGAUGGAUAUAAUGUAUGUAUUUUUGCUUACGGUCAAACAGGAUCCGGGAAAACAUACACGAUGGUAUGGAACAUAUUUAUAUCCUAAUUUUCAGCACAGAACGAUAAUUUGAAAAAUGCUGAUUUGUUGAUGUUUUAUGUCUGUUGUUUCCUCUCAGACUGGUCCUAAUGGAUCAACUAAAGAGAACUGGGGAAUCAACUACCGUGCCUUGAAUGACCUUUUCGACAUCUCUCAACGUAGAAAAAGCUCCAUUACAUAUGAAAUUCGAGUCCAAAUGGUUGAAAUAUACAACGAACAAGUGCACGAUUUGCUAUCCAGCGAUGGUGCUCAGAAGAAAUAUCCUUGUCGUUAUGAAAUGCGCUUCCUAUUGUGUUGUCUGAGUUAGUUUUGGUAACAGUCUUUUGUUUGCCUUGACUUGCACACACUUGGGAUUAUGACUCACUCUCAACCCAACGGGCUAGCUGUGCCAGAUGCUAGCAUGCACCCCGUGGAAGCAACCUCAGAUGUAAUAAGAUUGAUGGGAAUCGGGUUUAAGAACCGAGCUGUUGGUGCCACUGCGUUAAACGAAAGAAGUAGUCGCUCUCAUAGGUUUGUACAUUUCAUCUUCGUAAAACUUCAUCCCGUAUAUAUCUACAUGUUAUACAUUUUCUGGUGUGUUUGAUUUACGCAUGAAUGUCUAUGUACAGUGUUGUUACAGUUCAUGUACGUGGGAAGGAUUUGAAGACUGGUUCCGCAUUGAUUGGUAACCUUCAUCUUGUAGAUCUCGCGGGAAGUGAAAGAGUGGACCGUUCGGAGGUAACAGGAGACAGGCUCAAGGAAGCACAACAUAUAAACAAAUCAUUGUCUUCGCUCGGAGAUGUCAUAUUUGCUCUCGCACAAAAGAGCCCUCAUGUACCUUACAGAAACAGCAAGCUCACUCAAGUCCUUCAAAGCUCUCUCGGUACCUCUUCGCUAGUUAGUUUCGUUGUUGUGCGAAGUUUUGUCAGAUAUGUAGCAAUGCUAGAAUUUUUACGGUGUUUUCCAACAGGUGGGCAAGCGAAAACGCUAAUGUUUGUGCAGCUAAAUCCCGAUGCGAGUUCAUUUUCCGAAAGUUUAAGUACUCUAAAGUUUGCUGAGAGGGUUGCCGGAGUUGAGUUGGGAGCUGCGAAAAGCAACAAAGAGGGCCGGGAUGUAAGGGAAUUAAUGGAACAGGUUCUCAUUAUAUAUAACAUAUACAUAUGCUUGGGAAAAAUAUGUACAAAUAAUGUUCUACAAACAAAAUGUUGUUUCUAAAUUUCUCUUGCCUCUGCAGGUAGCGUCCCUCAAAGACACGAUUGCUAAGAAGGACGGCGAGAUUGAGCGAUUGCAAUUACUUGAUGGCCACAGUGAGAAGCGUGGGACGAGCUCAUUUAGGUAUGAAUCUUCGCAGCCAAGCAGAGUUUCUAGAGGUGGGAAGUGAAACCAAACACCGUUAAGUGGCGGGAUGAAGGCUUAGGGCUUAAGGCAGCUUCUGAUCCUGAAAACUGUGUUCUUGUACAGUAUCAUAAGCUCCAAAAGUCCAUGCAGGACAUUAAACAACAAAAUGAUUUUCUUCGGCAAUCAUCAAAGGUUGCCGGAAGUGAUGACAUAGGUCAGAAUAAACAUGCAGAUCAUGCUGAGUACUUGGCAUCUGGAGAUGCAGAUUCUGAGGGGAAAUUAAGUGACUUAUCUGACGGUGGUCUUUCUACUGGAACAGAAACUGAUGGCUCUGCAUGAAUUAUCCCGAAAGCACGAAAUCCGUUCCCUUGUAAAGGUGGGCAUUACUUACAUUGAAUCUAAUGCGUUAUCCAGACACACCAACAAGGCCUAUAUGUAACGGCAUUGGUGAUACCUACCAAUGACUCAUAUUCUGCAGGCCUAAAAGGAUUAGUAGGAUUCCGCGACCCUCGCUAAAACCAGGAACAACUUCUUCACCUUCGGCAUCAGGAUCAACGAGCGCUGUGAAGGUGCCAUCAGGUACGUGAAAAUAGAGCUCUCUGCACCAAUUAUUACUUCAGUUUGCCUUCUACUUAUCAGCAGUAUUACGUCUCUCAACAAUUCACAAUCACUUUGUGCAGGUAUGAGAAAAAGUAGCAGUUCUUCGUCACUGAAGCCGGCUGCAAACAGUUGGAAAUAAUUAGAACUCAGUCACUACAAGAAUUUCUCCACUAAUUUUUUUGAUAUACAUGUACAGAGUUUUCUUAGUUGCAAUUUUCUGAAAAUUUUAACAGCUCCUACCCCUAGCUUUCUAAUUACUCAAACCCUUUGUUGUGUGAGCUCUACUGCAAUUAUGCAAUGUAUACAAUUAAACCAACGAGCCUUGUGUAUAAUCUUUAUCCGAAACACAAAUCUUAUCAUUAAAUUACAGUCAAAUUAAUCUUUGAAGCGCAACUCAUAUCAUUAAAUUACGGUCAUAUUAAUCUUUAUCCAAAGCACAAAUCUUCAUCUGAAGCAUCACAUUUAAGCAUUUCAAGACCCGUUAUAUUGUUUCACUUUACAGCCAUGUAAUAAUAUAACUGUAAAGCGAAAACACCAAUUGAUAUAGUAACUAUUUUCCACACAGUAUAUUUUUCCGUAUUUUACUAGGAUUAGAAUACAUGUUUAAAGCCAAUGCUCUCUUUGAUAAUUUUACAUUAUAACCACAUACCUUCAUCACUGCAAAAUUUGUAUCGUUCCACUGUGACUCCAUCUACUGUUGCUUGUGCUAGCGCCACAUUUUCAUAGUUGUUUAUAGAUUCCUUAAUUGCACUUUCCAGCAAAGUAACUUCUCCCACAGUUAUCUCACCCCAAGGCAAGCCCAGUCUCGAGAGAUUUUUCAAUAUGAUUGGUCGGGUUGAUACACUACAUGUCACUAUACAAAUGAUGAGAUAUGUGUGCUAAAAUGUUAUAUUCCACCGUUUCUAUUAAAACAUGUGGUGUACCAUUUGUAUUUCCGUCACAAUGAAAAAUUUCUUGCCCAGCCUCAUCACUAAUAUUAGAACUUGUUCCAAUUGCAAAUCCCAAGUUAGAGAUCGUAUCCAAGGCUGAGAUCGAAUACAUUCAACCUCCGGGCUUAGAAUUGCUAGACCUAUCUAAUUCCUUGAAGUUGACAUAUCUGCCAUGGUUUCAAGUAUCAAGUCUCCACCUGGUAAUUGAUCACAAAGAUUGAACAUUAGAAGACCCUCGUACCGUAAAUCAGUUUGAGAGCUAAUUUCUUGAAUUGCUUGUAGUCUCAGAAUUCAAAGUCAUUGGCUUUGAAAGUGCUUCAUCCUUUUUUAUCCCCUUGAUCUGGUAUUUAUUUAUAAAUCGAUGAACGUAUAAGAUCUCCCAUAUGAUUGCUAGCCAAUAAUCACGAGGAUUUUUGUCGGUAACCUCAGACCAAUCAAAAUCAAUAUCAAUCGACCCCUUCAGCUCAGGAAACUCUAUUAUACCUGAUUCUGAUCUAAAGAAAAAACACUACUGAAAGUUGAUAAUCAAGUUAUAAAAAGAAGACUUUCUUUAAUAGCUACAUGGCAGAACAAGUGUAGAGACUACAACACUAAUAAGUAAGAAAAAAGCACAAAACAUGUCUGAUUAAAAAGAAGAGUUUUAACAAAACACUCUCGGUACUGUUCACUUUUAAUGAAAAACCAUAUUUUUACCUUUAACUGGCACUAUUCACUAUACCUUUAAAAAAAGAUUUUCGUUAAAAGAGAAUUUUUUUUGGACUUUUCGUUAGUUUUCCUUAAAAAGAAUGUAACAUAAGAUUAGAGAUUGUAUAAUUUAUAUAGAGUACUGAUAGGAAUAUCUAAAAAUAUACAAUAUAAGAAUAAGCUUCUAAGGAAAAAGAUGAAACAAUACCUACUUUAGUACAUAGGCUGCUCUCUUCGACCGAAGGAACGCUAUAUAGGCUGCUCACUUUGGAAUUUUUGUUCAUCAAAACCUCAAUACCCCCAUCACUUUAGUACAUUCAAUCAGAAUGGCAUUUUAUAUUAGUAAAUGUAUACUCUUUCAAUAUAUUAUGAAUUCACAUAUCAUAAGUUCACAAUGAAAUUCAAAAACUACAACAAUCAGAAUCACUUGCUAAUCGAAAUCCCAACAAGCAAAUUUUAGUCAAUAAAGUUCACCCCUUCAGUCUAUUAAGAUUUCAACAAUCAUAAGUUCAAAGCAAAAUCCAGAAAUGUUAGAUCCCAUAUCGUCCAGGGAGUGGAUCCUCUAUGCCUUAUAUGUACAUGCUCAUCUCCAUAUACCACGAGAUCUUUUGGGAGCUCACUGCGUCGGAACUCCAAAGUUAAGCGAGAAAGGGGCCAGAGCAUUUCCAAGAUGGGUGACCCACUAGGAAGUUCUACUCGCGUGAGUUCCCAUUAACAAAACCUUGAGGGUGUGGUUGGGGCCUAAAGCGGACAAUAUCGUGCUACGGCAGAGGGGGCCCGGGCCGGGAUGUGACAAGAAACUUAAACAAAUUAACACACCAGCAAGUUCACAAAACCACCCAAUAAAAAAAUUACAAUUUGAAAACCCAACCACCAAAUUGAGGGUUUAGGGAUACUUAUUGUUUCGUAUAUAUUGUAAAAAGGUUGCUUUGUUAGCAAACAGUGACUCUGUGGCCCAAUGGAUAAGGCGCUGGUCUACGAAACCAGAGAUUCUGGGUUCGAUCCCCAGCAGAGUCGUGUUGUUGUUUUUGAACUUUUUUUUUCAUGAAUAAUGAAAUCAUUAUAAUCAUUAAAUGUUCUAGAACAAGUUUUGCUCUGUACCCCAAUGGUUAAGGCACUGGUAUGCGAAACCGGGCUCCGGUUCGAUUCACAGUUGGCAGAGUCGAUAUGAUUUUUUAAAAUUUUUCCUAUUUAAAUGAUUUUUAAAAAGAUUGCAUCAUAUAUCCUGUUUCAGUCAUUAGGCCAUCUCCAACCGAUGGCUGGCCAGAGGGCUCGUUUUAGCCCUCUGGCCCUCCAAGAUUCUCCAAGAUAUUAAUAUUUUAAUGAACAGUACAGGGUCAUAUUUGCCUCCGUUUUUUUCAUGAAUAAUGAAAUCAUUAUAAUCAUUAAAUGUUCUAGAACAAGUUUUGCUCUGUACCCCAAUGGUUAAGGCACUGGUAUGCGAAACCGGGCUCCGGUUCGAUUCACAGUUGGCAGAGUCGAUAUGAUUUUUUAAAAUUUUUCCUAUUUAAAUGAUUUUUAAAAAGAUUGCAUCAUAUAUCCUGUUUCAGUCAUUAGGCCAUCUCCAACCGAUGGCUGGUCAGAGGGCUCGUUUUAGCCCUCUGGCCCUCCAAGAUUCUCCAAGAUAUUAAUAUUUUAAUGAACAGUACAGGGUCAUAUUUGCCUCCGUCUCCAACCGAGGGCCAGAGGGCCAGAGGGCUCGUUUUAGCCCUGUCACAAAAAAUCGUCUCCAAUCGAGGGCCAAAGGGCCAUAGGGCCAAACAUAAUUUAUUAUUUAAAAACUACAAUUUAAAUUCAAAUCUAACGGCUAGGUGACGUCAACAUGAUGUCAGCUAGUUGACGUCAGCUAGCCGUUGGUAGCUGACAUCAUGCUGACGUCAGCUAGCCGUUGGAUUUGAAUUUUUUUUGCUAUAAAUAGGGUGGAUAUUGGGCUAUAAUUCACACAAAUACGUUCUCGUGCCACAAAUACGUACCUACAACAGGAUCUUGUUGCACAUCUUUGGGCCAAAAGAAGCAUGGAGUAGGCUUUUAAGUUUUAUGUUGUUAAAUGUUUUUAAAAAUGUUGUUUAAGUUUCAUGUUGUUAAAUGUUUUUUUAUGUUGUAUAAUUUGUAUGUUGGUUAAUGUUAUUUAAUGUUAUUUCAUAUUGUUUAAUGUUGUUUCAUGUUACUUAAUUUAAUUUAAUGUUUUAUAAAUGGCCUAGGAAAAAAAUAGAAUUGAAAAAAAUUAUGAAACAAAUUUUGUGAAAUAGAAGUUAUAGGAAAUAAAAUAUGAAUCAAAUUUUGUAAAAUAGAAGUUAUAGGAAAAAAAUAGAAUUUAAAAAAAAAUUGAAACAAAUUUUGUAAAAUAGAAUUGAAAAAAAAUAUGAAACAAAAUUUGAUUAAUAUGAAAAGGAAAAAAAAAGGGAAAAAAAAAAGUUUAAAAAAAAAAAAAAAGGCCUAAUAAUACAACGGCUACUAGCCGUUGUAUUAAAAAACAUUCAAACUAUUAGUGUCGGUUAUAACCGACACUAAUAGUAGAACUAUUAAAAAAUAAAUAAAACAUGUUUAAUGCUGUCGGUUUUAACCGACAGCAAUAGAAAACAUUAAAAAAAAAAUAAGCCAGCCCGGGGCUGGCUGGCUGGCCGAAAGCAGCCAGCCCUCCAGCCCUCCAGCCCUCUCCGAUCCCGUGGGGCCCUCCCAGAUUCCAGAGCCCUCUGGCCUAGCCCUCGGUUGGAGACGGUUUUAGGGCUAUUUUCGGCCCUCUGGCCCUCUGGACCCUUCGGUUGGAGAUGGCCUUAUGUCAUGUAAGUCUCUCCAGACCAUACAACUGCUCGGCGAGCACAUGCAAAUGGUUCAAAGUUAACACAUUAGAAAAACUAUGAAAUAGAUAAACUGAAUAAGUGAAAUACAUAUAAGUUUAAAGACAAAUAUUGUAAUGUUGGUUUUUUUUUUCAUUUGAAUAAAAAAGCUUGCUUUCAUGUCUUAAUUUCAAAGGUUGAAUCUUUUCUUCCUGAAACAUAAAUGUCAGUUUAGCCAAAAUGGUCUCUGAGAUUGACAUAACUCCUUAAUUUGUCCUUGAGGUUUGAAAUCGAUAGAACUGGUCCUUGAUGUUUGAAAUCGAUAGAACUGGUCCCUGAGUUUGUCCAUUAUCCAUCAUUUUCAUCCUUCUAUGCAAAAUAUCUGUUAAAUAAGAAUUGUUAGGGCCCAAAGAUGUCACAUGUAAACCCAAUCAAGUAGGCCCGAUUGUCGUAAAACCCCGAGUCAAGUCUAAACACAUGUCAAGGUAUGAAAUCGAGAAGGGAAAACAUUCACAAUCAUGCCAUGCCAUUAAUAUAUGAUAAACGAACCAGACAUUUAUAUAAUCACGCAACGCCAUGCAAAUCCCUACACAUUCAUCAUGCCAUGUUAUAUUUCGCUAAUUACCAUUCACGCUAAAAUAUGCCCAAUCCAUAUGUCUGGGGCUUGCCAAGUGAAUCAUGGUGUGGAUGUUUACGGAAGUUUGUCGGGCAUACACAAAGUCAAGAUUAUGGAAGACUUUGGGCUGCUUAGGAGCCCAAAGAUCCAAACCCACAAUCCCACAAUCCUUGAAGUCUACGUAAGUGAGUUUGAGAGAGAACAAACCUAAUUCCCUUUUUUCCCUAGCUAGACAACUAAGCCAGUUAGAAAAGAGUCAGACUCAAGGCCUUAAAAAUCAUGUGAAAGCCCAAUAGAGCCUGCAUUUAAUGAAAAGAGAGGCAGAUUUUCCCUUCCUAGUUCACGUAGAAGAACAAUGAAAGAAAGUCAUGAAACGUGUUACUAGAAUUAAUGCACGUGGAAGUUGACCUAGGAAAUAAGCGCUCUGGAAAGAGAGCCCGAUGUAGUCUUCACAAAAGCAUUGGUGUUCAUCUGUCUUAAACCAAAUGGGAAGGUCAGAGUUAUGCUGGGAGAAAUGGGAGGGAAGACUUAGUUAUAACUAGAGCUUUUCUAGGAAGCCUCAAAAGGGAACCAUUCACCUACAAAAGAGAGGUCAGAGGUUUUGAAUAGAGGAAGACAUAAUAUUAGAGAGAGGGAGAUUCAAGGUUAUACUGCACCAAGCAAGGGAAAUAGCUCUCUAAGUGCAAAUAGUCUUGAACAUCUAAGAGGAUCACCUUCAUGCAACCUUAGUAGUUUCUUUAAGCUUCCUUCAAUGGGAGCCUUCUUAGAACCCUAGGAAACCCAAAUCACCCAACUAAACACAUCAUGCAAUCAUGCAAAGUUCUUUCGCAUGCUAAAUUGGUAAACUUCUAGAUUCACCUCACUCAUGCAAGUUAUUAUUUGCCUAAUCAUGUUAUCUUUGAGUCAUUAAUCCAACCGGGAUAUUUCCUAAGACAUGCUAAUUCUUUCGAAAUAUUUUGGGAAUUGGUACCAAAACGAACCAGGGGAAUAAAAAGGGUACUUUCAAGCCCAAGUCUAGCUCGGCUUAAAAAUCCCUUAACAAUGACAAAAGAUAAAAAUACCCUCAAUUUAAUAAACAAUGUGCCAAAGUAAUUUGACAAAAAUCGAGAGUAUUUUUGUCAUUUAUAGCUUAUUAAUGAAGGUCAUUUCCGAAAUGACCAAAAUGAUUGACGGUGGACAAACUCAGAGACCAAUUCUAUCGAUUUUAAAUAUCAUGGACCAAAGUGAGGAGUUAGACCAAUCUCAAUGAUUAUUUUUGGCUAAAAAGCCAUGUACUGCAGCCCAGUAAAUGCAUGUUCAAGUUGGGAAGCAUCGAACGAAAUCAAUCGUGUUUAAUUGCAAGAAAUUGGUGGUUCAAAAUUCAAUCUUUUAAGAGGUUUUAAGAUAUUUUUACAUGUCUUCAUGAAUUUACAAUUUUUUUCUUUUAUCUGAUAAAUUGUUAUGUCAUGGUUUGUGCAGUGUAGUUUAUGACUUGGGUUAUGAAACACCAAUAAUGUUACAAAAAUUACACCUUAAGAGACCAAUAAUCCAACUUAGAUAUAAAAUUUAAAACCAAUAAUAUAAUUAGUCUCCCAACUUAAUUAUAUAUACAAAAUGUAUCAUUGAAAUCCAAAACGAAAAAGAAAUGAAACAAAGUUUAAUCAGGGAACAUGACAAUGUGUUGUGUCCCCUCAUUGUGUAUUUUUAAUCAGAUCCCUAAGCUGUUGAAGAAGUUGAUCGGUUGAGCAAUGUUCUUCUUUUGCUUAAAACAGUACAAAUACACUCCAAAUCGAAAAAUAGUGUACUUGUGGUGCCAAAAAAGCAUAUGAUCUUUUGAGAACUCGUUCUUAAUAUCUUAGCAGCGUAUUAUUGGUGUUUAUUUGUUUAAGUUCAAUAGCGUGUCAAAUGCAUGUUCAUUUUGUCCCAUGAAUGCAGGCAAGGGACAUCAGGAACAUUACUUGCAUUACAAGUUCCGCUACUUAGGUUGGUGCAAAAGGCACGGAUCUCCUUCCCAGCAAUUGCCGAUGUGAUUUUAAUCUGGUGCAAAUUAAUGUUAGCACAACCUAGAUUCUCCGAGCAAUCAAACUUGAUCGCUUCUUCGGUUGCAGAAGUUCCAUGAAAACCAUUGUAUGUCACAUCGCUCAUUCACUGUCGAAGUCAGCAAAUUUUUUCAAAAAUGAUGACUUCGUUAAUACAACUAAUUUGUUUGAGUUAAAAAUCAUUUUAUUGAAAUUAGCAUAAGAGCAAUCUACUAACCUUAUUCCAUGACCUAGUCCACAACUAAUUUUGGUGAUAUUGAUAGAGGUUAAUUUGGUCCACAACUUUUAUUUAAAUGUGUAACUUAAAUGUGCACUUUUGAUGUGCACCUGGACUUAACAUUUUAUGUAAGUAGAAUAUGUUGACUAGUUCAUGGCCGGCCAAGCCCACGUGAGUCAAGUUGUGAUGGGUCGACCCGUUUGAUACCUUUAAAGCAACCUAAUCAUCUAGAAUCCAAAUAGUCAUGUAUUCUCCACAAACGAACGGGUUUUAUUUAGGUACACAAUCUUAUCCUAUGAAGGUUUUCAAUGUACCCGAUCUGAUCAGAUUAAAAACUUUACCCUUUUUGCCUUUUCACUUUAUAUAUGUAGAUAUCCCCCCUCCCUAUAUAUGGAAAACAUACGCUAAUUGCAAACCAUAGUCUCUCAUAAUUAAUAAGAGUUGCAACAGUGUAACUGUGCUAUGUAAGUUAAUAUCCGUGAUUAGGGGCGCAUUGCACAAAUUUUAUCCUUCACAAGUGCGUAGGCCAGCGUUUGCUACCAUACAUUUCAACCACUGAAACUCAUGUGUGUACAAAACUAGGGAAAUGGAUUCUCUCUGGAUCAUUUCCACCAAAUUCACCAAGUUAACAAAUUCGAACCCUUGAAAUUUGAUCCAAUGACUAAAGUUAUUAUAACUUUUAAAGGAAGCUCACGUUUUUAGUUGUUGGAUCAAAUUUUAAAGGUCUGGAUUCGUUGACCUGGUAAAUUUGAUGGAAAGAAUCCGAAAAUGAUUCCUUUUCCAAAACUAGGAGCCCAAGGAUUUGACUAGUCACCCUUUGGAGUUGGCCCAUUCAAAAGUGCAAAUCCCUGAUAGCAAUCCUCCACGCCAACUGGUAAACUUUUAGCUUCCACACCACACUUUACUUAAGCAAGUUAUUAUUUGCUUAAUCAUGCUAUCUUUAAGUCAUUGAUCAAACCGGAAUAUUUCCUAAGACGCUAUAAUUCUUUCGAGAUAUUUCGAGAUUUGGUACGAAAGCGAACCAGGGGAAUGAAAAGGGUACUUGCAAGCCCAAGUCUAGCUUGGCUUAAAAAUCCCCUAACAAUGACAAAAAUGACAAAAAUGACCUCAAUUUAAUAAACAAUGUGCCGAAGUAAUUUGACAAAAAAUCGAGGGUAUUUUUGUCAUUUACAGCUUAUUUAAUGGAGGUUAUUUCUGGAAUGACCAAAAUAAUUGACGGUGGACAAACUCAGAGACCAAUUUUAUCGAUUUUAAAUCUCAUAGACCAAGGUGAUGAGUUAUGCCAAUCUCAAGGACUAUUUUUUGCUAAAAAGCCAUGUAUUGCAGCCAGUAAAUGCAUCUUCAAGCUGGGAAACAUCGAACGAAAUCAAUCGUGUUUAAUUGCAAGAAAUUGGUGGUUCAAAAUUCAAUCUUUUAAGAGGUUUAAGAGAUUUUUAUAUGUCUUCAUGAAUUUACAAUUUUUUUUCUUUUAUCUGAUAAAUUUUUCUGUCAUGAUUUGUGCAGUGUAGUUUAUGACUUGGGUUAUGAAACACCAAUAAUGUUACAAAAAUUACACCUUAAGAUACCAAUAAUCCAACAUAGAUAUAAAAUUUAAAACCAAUAAUAUAAUUAGUCUCCCAACUUAAUUAUAUAUACAAAAUGUAACAUUGAAAUCGAAAAAGAAAUGAAACAAAGUUUAAUCAGGGAAACAUGACAAUGUGUUGUGUCCCCUCAUUGUGUAUUUUUAAUCAGAUCCCUAAGCUGUUGAAGAAGUUGAUCAGUUGAGCAAUGUUCUUCUUUUGCUUAAAACAGUACAAAUACACUUCAAAUCGAAAAAAUAGUGUACUUGUGAUGCCAAAAAAAUCUGAUCUUUUGAGAACUCGUUCUUAAUAUCUUAGCAGCGUAUUAUUGGUGUUUAUUUGUUUAAGUUCAAUAGCGUGUCAAACGUAUGUUCGUUUUGUCCCAUGAAUGCAGGCAAGGGACAUCAUGAACAUUACUUGCAUUACAAGUUCCGCUACUUAGGUUGUUGCAAGAGGCACGGAUCUCCUUCCCAACAAUUGCCGAUGUGAUUUUAAUCUGGUGCAGAUUAAUGUUGGCACAACCUGGAUUCUCCGAGCAAUCAAACUUGAUCGCUUCUUCGGUUGCAGAAGUUCCAUGAAAACCAUUGUAUGUCACAUCGCUCACACUCACUGUCGAAGUCAGCAAAUUUUUUCAAAAAUGAUGACUUCGUUAAUACAACUAAUUUUGGUGAUAUUGAUAAAGGUUAAUUUGGUCCACAACUUUUAUUUAAAUGUGUAACUUAAAUGUGCACUUUUGAUGUGCACCUGGACUUACCAUUUUAUGUAAGUAGAAUAUGUUGACUAGUUCAUGGCCGACCAAGCCCACGUGAGUCGGGUUGUGAUGGGUCGACCCGUUUGACACCUUUAAAGCAACCUAAUCAUCUAGAAUCCAAAUAGUCAUGUAUCCUCCACAAAUGAACGGGUUAUAUUUAGGUACACAAUCUUAUCUUAUGAAGGUUUUCAAUGUACCCGAUCUGAUCAGAUUAAAAACUUUACCUUUUUGCCUUUUCACUUUAUAUAUGUAGAUAUCCCCCCCCUCCCGAUAUAGGGAAAACAUACGCUAAUUGCAAACCAUAGUCUCUCAUAAUUAAAAAGAGUUGCAACAAUGUAACUGUGCUAUGUAAGUUAAUAUCCGUGAUUAGGGCGCAUUGCAUUUAUUUUAUCCUUCACAAGUGCGUAGGCCAGCGUUUGCUACCAGACAUUUCAACCACUGAAACUCCUGUGUGUACAAAACUAGGGAAAUGGAUUCUCUCUGGAUCAUUUCCACCAAAUUCACCAAGUUAACAAAUUCGAACCCUUGAAAUUUGAUCCAAUGACUAAAGUUAUUAUAACUUUUAAAGAAAACUCACGUUUUUAGUUGUUGGAUCAAAUUUUAAAGAUCUGAAUUCGUUGACCUGGUAAAUUUGAUGGAAAUAAUUUGAAAAUGAUUCCUUUUCCAAAACUAGGAGCCCAAGGAUUUGACUAGUCACCCUUUGGAGUUGGCCCAUUCAAAAGUGCAAAUCCCUAAUAGCAAUCCUCCACGCCAACACCAAGUCAGCCAAAGCCAGGCAGGCCAAACAAAAACAAACAAACAAAAGAGGCCAAUCCUACCACAUGUUCCGCGAUGCUUCCAAAGACAGAAACCCCAGUACCCCACACUUGUCCCUCAAACCUUUCUCCCACCCACCUUCCCAAUCCUCCUUUUUCUACAAAACAACUUGGAAAUCUGAUUUGAUUAAGAUCUCAACUUAAUUUAGAUUAAUAGGUGGUCAUAAGACCACCAAUUCUCAAUUAUGUUACUUGUUUUACUCAACUACGGAUCCAUCAAUUUAUUUGAAACUUUCUCUCUUGUCGUAUCACAUUCUAUUUUGCGAUAUUUGAGACGUCAUACUUAUGAUUGUAGGAUCAAAACAUCAUGUGCUUUUUAUGAAAAAAAUUUCCCUACAUCAGCACGCUAUUGUGUGAGAAAGUUAUAACGUUUAAUAACAACACAAUGACAUCUCAAGAAGUUCUAAAGAUGCAAAUGUGACAAUAUUCUAAACCCAUUGCAAUUAUUGUUCGAGAAAAUUAAAACAUGUGUCAAUGUGCGAAUGACUUGUCACAAUUCUACAAUCACAUCCACAUACUUCUCGGAAAAAAAAAAUUCUGAAGAUUCAAUUGUGACAAUAUUCCAAGUCAAUCAUAAAUCGUGCAAUAACACAACAAAUUGCAAAUAGAUCCAAUCCUCAUUUCCUCCAAAAUACAAUUACAAAGGGAUUAUGAGAAUCCAAACAAAGUCUUUAGUAGAAGAUUACAUACUUGUCCCAUGAAACCUCCUCCCCCAAUGUCAUAAAACCAUCUCCUAAUAGAGAUGGCCACUUCUAUGAAGGAAACCAAAACAAACUUCUAUCCACAUAUAGAGAGAGAGAGAGAGAUAGACUUUACGCCUCCCACUCUCUCUCCUCUUCCCUUUUAUUCCUCUUAAUUUACAUAUACAUCUUUUGAGUUUACACAAAAAGACUCACCAUAAAUUAAACAUAUUAAGAUCAACUCACUUGACUUGUAUAUACAAAAAUUACACUCUCCAUCUCAAAGACCCCCCAAAAAACAUUAAUCUUCUUCCUCCUCCUCUUGAUAUUUUUCCCAAAGCACAAAGCCCUCUACUUUUCUCACAAAACUCUGCUUCUUCCAAAACAGAGAGGGCUCUGUUCCACACCCUAACUCUGUGUCUAAGCUACAGCAGAGAUGCUGCAGUUCCUGCGGUCCCUGCUAAGACAAUCAAACCCUUCGAUCCGCACUGCAACUGGCCUGUCCCCAGACUUCAUCCGGACACAGCCACCGUUGCGCGAUGACAACAUAGGCUGUGCCGGCAAAAAUGGAGCCAUAUUGCCGCUAUUACCGAAAUGCUCAUCUUGGAUUACAGGGUUGGAUGCCCUGCUCGGCGGCGACCCGCAGAAAAAAGGAGGCGAUGAAGCCGAUUGCUUAUUACCGAAUCUAUCUUCACAAUUCCCCUGUUUUCAUAAAUUAACCACAAAACAGGAGAAAAUAAUUAGUCUUUGUUCUUGGAAUUUUUUCAUAAGUGGAAGAGCGAGCUAAAACAUGACAACAAAAUUAAAAAUAAACGAAUUCAUGCCAAUAAAAACAAAUUUGAAACCCCCAAAUUAGAAAAUAUAAAACGAAAACAUGAAAUGAUUUAGGCCUGCCCCUUCCUCUACAAAACCGUCAAACCACGGUUUAUUUAUGUCCCUUGAUUCAAGUGGAUGCAUCGACGAAAAGGGGUGUGCAGAAAUCAUUUUCUCUGAAUAUUAGCUAAAAAAUCAUCCCACGAAUAUUAGCACAACAAGUUUAAAGAAUUUAACGAAAAGUUAUCAGUCCUACUUUAACGAAAAAUCACAUUUUUACAUUAAAAAGUAAGAUCUGAUACUAUUCCCUUUACCAUUUAUUCAGUCAUUUUCAUUUAUUCAGUCAUUUUCGUUAAUACCCAAAAUUUUCAAAUCCGUUUUACUAUAAAUUUAAGGGGAGGAGAGGAACCUUGGCGAGAAUAAUAUCCAGAAUCUCAGACCCAGCUUCAGAAUCUCGAAUCUCCGAUUGGUUGUGACUGUUGCAGCAGCAGCAACAAAAAUCAAACACCCAAAAAAUAACAACCUUUGACUCUUACCUACGAAUUAAAACCUUAAAAGAACAUAGAAGUGUGAGAAGAUAAAAAAGGUACGUACUUGAAGUAUCUGAAGGGUCUGAUGUUGUCGUUGAAGGAAGGAUUCAGAAGGCUGAAACGACGUGGUUUUGGGCACACAACUGAAUCCAUCCCCUCGCAGCCUGCCGUGGCGCUCUGCUCGUAACCGCACCUGCUCAUCAUCUUUGCUUCUUCUGUUGGGUGAUAUCACCAACAACCAAGCCUGCACACCCACACCCAGAUUUCAUUUCAUCAAAUCAACCCCAAAAAUUAAAAAACACAAACUUUUGCAUGAAGAUUUCAUAUAAAAUAUAAUUUUUGUUGGGGGGCGGGGGGAGUGAUUUUCGUACACCUUGUUUAUUAAAAUUUCAGGCCUUUUUGAAUGAAUUAAAUCAAAAGAGAAUCACGAGACGGAAAUAAACAGAGAUGUGUGAAAGACGUUAAAUAUAACAAAGCAUGAAAAAUAAAACAACCCCAGAAGGAUAAAAAGAUGCGAAAUUAAGACUUGUUCUUCAUGAUUUACAUAUAAUUUGCAGAUCUGUUGGUAGGAAAGUUGCAGAAAACCCAGGAAUAAAAAAACAGGGAGGAACUAAGAACCUUGAGCUGCAGCCACAGGAGGCCCCUCAGGGAGGAGGAGAUUUGAGGGGAAGAAGAGAAAGGAUCUGCAAAACAGAGAUUUUCCGGGGCGUCUGAGAGGGAGAGGAGAGAGAGGGAGAGGAGGGGUGGGGGCUGAGUAUUUAUGAUUCAAAGAAGCAGGGGACAGAGAGAGAGGAAACAGAGGAUGAUCUAGAUUGUGGACCGUUGGAUGAGGUUUGAGAUUGGUGUUGGAGGAGCCCGAUUUGGUCCACGUGGUCGGGAUCUCCAGCCAAUAAUACUAGAAAAUAAAUAAAUAACAAUACUCCCGUUUUAGCACGAGCCUACAAAGGAAAAUAUCUAAAUUUAUUUAUUUAUUUAUGGUACGGUUGAUUGAUUCCAAUUUCCAAUUGACCAAUGACCCUUGAGCCUUUGCAAGUGCAAUGCACGGAAAGACAUUCUCUCCGGAUUUUUACCAUUAAAGUCAUCGAAUCAAGUGAUCCGAAUAUUUGAAAUUUCAUUUAACAUGACAAAAAUUAUUAUAGUUUUUAAUAGAUCAAAAUAAGUGAACCGUUGGAUGAAAUUUUAAAGACUCGAAUCAUUUGAUCUAGUGGUCUUAGUGGAAAAAAUCCGAAGAGGAUCUCUUUCCGCAAUGACAAUCCAACUAUUUUAAUUUUUAAUUUUCUGGUAAACGAAGAGAAGGAUUAGGAUUAAGGACAAUCAAAUCUUUAUCUAAUUCUUAAAUUUGAAGUCAUGCAGAUUUUUUUCUUACUUGAUAAGAACACGUUGACAUGGACAAUCAACCAAAAUAAGAAGAUAAACGUCUCCGUAGGAUUUGAGCUUCCGUUUUUAUUUUGAAGAUCUGUGAAGAUUAAAAUGCAUAUUAGUCAUAAAAUUAAUGUGUCUAAUAUUAAUUUAGAUUUAAAGAUUUAAAUAUUAGAAAAACCAAUGAAAAUGACUUGAAAUUUUUGAGUUUUAACGAAAAUGACAAAAUAAAAUGUAAAGUGAAUAGUACCAUAAUUGAUUUUUUAGUGUAAAAAUGUGGUUUUUCGUUAAAAUGAAUAAUACCGAGUGAUUUUUGUAAAAAUUUCCUUAAAUAUUUGACAACUUAAUAAAUUAAUAUAAGAAAAUGAGUUUUUUAAUAGUACAAAGGCACAGAGUAUGAACAACUAAUUAGAUGAUGCAGUGAAUCUUUAAAAAAGGCAAGAAAUUCCAAUAAAGUUGUCUUAUUAGAUCAUCUUUUACAUAUGAUCAACUUAGAAUCAUGUGAUAUCAAAAUACAUAGAAGUUUCAAAUUUUAUAAAACAUGUUAUAACAAUGACAUGUCGUAAUCACUUUUUUUUUCUUAAAGUGUUGCUACGCCCAAUAGGCCGAAUGCAAUUCGAUGAGUCAUGAACGUGCCACAAAUUAAACGAACGUGGUAUGAGUAUGUUCGUACUUUUGCCAAACCCGAAUUUAAAAUAAGAAAACUAAUGAAAAGGGUUUGAAAAUUUUGAGUUUUAACGAUAAUAAAAAAAUAAAUGGUAGAGUGAAUAGUAUUGUUGAUGCACAAAACCAGAGGUCUUGGAACAACGUAAAUCCGACCGUGAAUUUGCAAAAAAUGUAAAUAACACAAGAUGUAUCGUGGUUCACCUUAAGGUUUGGACUACGUCCACACUAAUUGUAUUUCUCUGAGAGUAUUUGUGAGGGAGAGAGUGUGAGAGCUUUUCUCUAGAUAGGAGAGACUUAAGGUUUGUGAGGGUGAAGAUGCCCUUUUAUAGAAUAAGGAUUCCUCCACUAAUUACAUAUUUGCCCAUUCUUUUAUUACGUAAUUACAUUUGAGUUAUCCGAGUAUUUAUACGAGGUCUAAAUACAAAUGCCCUAGGUAUGGUAUAAACACGUAUCAAGAUUGACUUUUUAGUAUAAAAAUAUGAUUUUUCGUUAAAGUAAACAGUAUCAUGAGCUUUUCGUUAAAGUUUAUAUUUAAAAACUAUAGCCAAAGAUUAAAGAAGCAUGUCAAAUUUUGAAGAUAAAAAGAGGGGAUGAAAAAAACAUGGCAGAUGAACGUUAAUUAAAUUCCAGUGGAGCAAGGGUUGCAGAAAGGCUAAUUGCAGGGAGGCUUCAAUAAUUCGAAUCCAAGGUGGAAAGGACAGACAUGUUUGUAAACACAGAAUGGAAGUGGGAACCACAACUCCAUUCCCUUUCCUUUUCUGUUCGAUUCCUCCACAUGCCACUGCCUUGGGAUGCUCACAUUGGUAAACAAUGUUGGGAGAAAGAUUUACAUUUACUUGGCACAGAUAUAUUGUUAUCGGUGGCGUGCUGUGUUAAUAACAUAAAAUAUAUGUAACUUUUGUUUAUAUGGUAUUGUUUUAUUUUUACGGAAUGUUAUGUAAUUGUGUACUCGUGCUAUAUAUGUUGUUUUUUUUAAAGAAAGGUUUAGUUGUAGAAUCAACUCUCAUGAAUGACCUAUGUAUGUUGUUCUAUUUGAGGGAAAAGUUUAGUCGUACAAUCAACUUUGAUGAAUGACGAACUUAUUAAUAUCAUGAUAUUUUUUUAUAAGUGAGAAAUUUUAAAGCCAACUCUUGGUGAAUAUCAAAUUUAAAAUAAUAUUUUAAUUAUCAGUAUAAAAUGUCGUUGUAUAUCAUAUACUUGUAUUAAAUUUUGGUGGCCAUAGUCCAAAUUUGCAAUCCAAUGGAAUUCAUGGAGAUUAAUACACACAUAUAUAUAUGGCCCCUACCAUUAGGUCCAUUACCAACCAAUUGUAAUUGGGGCGAUCAUAUGUGUAUACGGUUCAUUCACCACUCAUAUAGUGUAUAUCCGAUUAUACCGUAUUUUAAAACGAUUUUGUUUCCUUUUGUGCACUAUUAGAUAAUAGAUAGUGUAAAAGUAACCCUUUACCACAGUAGUGAAAAUGUGUUGUGCCCUUACAUGACGAUAUGAAUUUGAACUUUAUCGGUAGCUAAUUUAACAUCUAACUUAUUAACGCUAUCACCCGACUCAAAAGAUAAUAGAUAGUGAAGUGCUCACUAACUUGCUAUUUAUAUUGAGAAGUAAUUUCAAUAUAUAUUUUUCUUCUUCUGCACGUUGAUGUUUAUUCUGAUCAUCAAUGCUUCAUAUAUUUCAAUUGAAUGACCAGGAUAAUACAACAGUGUACAACUACGUGUGAUAAAAGGAUUGUGCGGGAUUCACUUCCCCUAUUCCUUAGAGCAACUAACUAUUAGUCUAGUAAUAUACAAAUCUCUGAGCUCUCCUUAAUGUAUAUCUACAUAUAUAAAGUGAAAUGGCAAAAAGGGUAAAGUUUUCAAUAUCCUUUCAAUGGCCUCACUUUAAUUGGUGGGUGGUUAAUAAUUCUUUCUUUGUUUCUGAAUUUUUAAUUAAAAUAUAUAAUUAGAUCUAAAGCAGAAAUAAAACUUAAUUUUUAAUCUAGGCGUGGAAGGAGGCUAGUUAGUGAAAUGAAUAGCUUGUAUUAAAAAAAUAAUAACUUUCUGAUAAAAAAAAUAAUAAUUUGGUCAUUAUUUUCAUAAUUAUUUAAGGGCCUGAUAGGCCCGUACAAUGUCUUGGGUAGGCUUAAGACCGGCCCACUAAACUAGGUUAAGGGCCUGAUAGGCCACGGGUAAUAGGUCUUGCGUUUGAACUUUGAUCUUCUGCGCAAGUUUUACUUCUGUGUUUCAGAAGACUGAGAGGAAGAUGGUGUGGCCAGGGACAACAAUGGCAACCAAUUGUCUAGUAAGUCGUUUCUCAACCUUUUGUUGUUAUUUUUAUUAUUUCAAUCUUCUGAAAUAUAUUCGUAAAUGAUACGAGCCAUAUAGAGGGAUUGGAAUUCCCAAACCCUAGUAUAUAUUAGACUGUUAGUUAGCAAACAAAAGAAUUAUUGAUUAUAUUUAUAUGAUGAGAAACGUUAAGAUGACUCUCUUAAAGUGGAACUCUGUCACUUCAUAGUUUAACGUCAAUUUUCUUGCCAACAUUAUAACAAAAAAUAUGGGCUGGCAGCCCAUGGAGAGUCCCACUUUUAAAAGAGUCUCCUUAGUAUUUCUCUUUAUAUGAUAUAUUAAGGAGAGUGAUAGGAUUGUUGGCACAAAUUUGCAAUUAUAUUAUUGUUGCGUAUGAAUUACAAUUAAGUAUCAGUUACAAUUGACGACAAGUGCACAAGACUAACCAAUAACCCCAAUAGUUCGGAUUGUAAAUUGAUUAAGGAAUACAUUAAUGUUUUGAUGGUUCAAUGACAAAAUUUUCUUAUACACUCUGAAAUACUAUAGAAUUUUGAAUAGUUAAUUAUCGGUCAAGUAUACAAUAAUUAAAAUCUACAAAGCGCUAUACAAUUUUCAGCAAAUGAUAUGUGACAUUUGACAUUUGAAAUUAUGUGACAGUUUCAAAUUCCCAUGCAAUAACUGAGUACAAAAUUAAUAUAUUUCCUUUCCAAUGACCAUGAUUUCCCAACUACAAUAGUCAAUAGGUCAUCACCUUUAAAAAAGUCAUGAAAUCCAGAUGCAGAAAUCUUUAAAGAUGGUGAUAUAUCAGACUUUAUUUCAUUUUUCAUUCCCCACCUAAGUGGGUCCUAAACCCUAAAUUAACCACAUAUAAAUGAUAUAACCCUAAUCCCUUGAGUGUACCAUGUGAUACCUUUUUAUUCCACUGCAUCUGCAUCAUGUGUUUGAAGCAGCCUUGUUAUUCUUCCUCUUUAGUUUUCUCCUCUUUUGAUUCAGCUCAUAAGCCUCAUAUCCCAGCUUGUAGAUAAACCCUAAUUUUUUUUUAAAAAAAGCUAAAGCUAAAGUAACCCUUGUCUCUCUCUCUCUUGAUGUUCCUUGCUUUGUUCUCUCUCUCUCUCUCUCUCUGUCUCUAAACAUUAUUUCAUGGAUUCGAAAUCUCCAAAAUCCAUGUCACCUUCUUGUCCUACCUCAGUAAUAUAAUAUUAUAUAUUAUAGUAGUUUUUACAAAAGGGUACCUGGGUAGGAUAUUCACUCAUUCUCUGUGCAGUCAUGCAUGCACAUUCAUGUCACAAUGUCUAGUCAUCAAAGCAACACAAUAGUGGUACGUGGGUCAUUGUGCUGGGAAGAAAAGUGGGGAGGAAUCUCUUUGGUAUUUUCUCCCAUCCAGAAUUCGCACUUUGCUCAUCUUUGCUUCGCACCAAUGCAAUUGUUCUGCAUUUAGGUCGGUCAUUCUCAAAACCCUAGAUACCAGUUUUAGGUCAAUCAGACCCAUCAGUAUCUCCAUCUCUUCCUCCACCUUCAACCUUCGCUUUCUCAGGCAUUUGUGGGAACGUCGAAGAUCUUUGAUUUUCAUCUUCUUCUGCUCAUGAAAUUGGGAGAGGUAAGAAUAUAUCCGGAAAAUGUUUAUACAUGACGUAUGUUUUUUAACUUAAAGAACGGACGCGCAUUGAUAUUGCUAAGAAUGUAUCAACCACAUGUUUGUACGCUUUGUUACAACAGUGACAUUAGUGACUUGACAUUACUAAUAACAUAUCGACAAUCAAUUCUUUAAUAAAGGAUGGACUUCCGUUAUGGACUAUAAUUUGGUAUAGUAAAAAUAAAUGAUAACAUAACAUAAUUAAGCAAUUGAAACACAAACACACACACAUAUAUAUAUGAACUUACUUUUUGAUUAACUUUCUUCAUCAGAUGGAGAAGAGUGGGAUCAACUGAACCUUUUCGUUUUCGUUUGAACAUGGAUGCUAAUUUCUGGCAGGGUUUUUCCUUAUCAGUCUUGAGAAAAUCCAUGAACGUUCGGAUUCCGUCUUCCAUUAUCAUUAAAAAUGCAGCUGACGAAAUUUUUGAGCCAAAACCUUCAUCCUUUUGAUGGUCAUCAUCUUCUGAAACUUAUGACAUAAAAUUCAUGCAUUAGUUAAUUAACUUUGUUUGAUCCCUAGACCUUUUGCAUUCUUUGAUACAAUUUAAAAAAUCAUAUCACGUAACAUUCAAAUUGUUAAAGAAAAAGGGUAUGAAUUAAAAGAAGUUAAAGUACAAUUCUUCUGCAGAUGUACCUCGAUAUUCUGGCACUUGAAGUAACUUUGGUGCCAAAAGCCUCAUCCUAGCAUAAAUCUCUGGCCUCCUGCCUUGCUCAUAAGGCUCAUUCUCUACAUAUCUUUGUAGAAGCACUUGAAAUUGCUGAAAUUUCUGUGCUAAUUCGCCAGGAACGCCGGGAUCAAACUCAUGGCGUGAUGCCCUUUUUUGCUCAAAAUUCUUGUAGUUCCAAUUAAGUGCUUCCCAUGUUAAGCAAAUUUGUGCAACAUAAGCAGCCUCCAGCUCAUGAUAAGGGUUGUGACGUACAUCAGGCAGCCUUUUUGUUGCCGUAGAGAUUCUAUGAACAAUCCUUUCCGAAAUUGAUCUUGGACAGACUUGAAUAGACUUAAGUGAUUCUGAAAACAAAAAUAUAGCAUAUAUAAUGUCAGCUUAAGAUAUUAAUAAAAGAAAUCAUUACAAAAAGGGAGAAAAUAUAGCUAGAUAAUAAAAAAAUUAAAUUAAAUUACCUGUUUCAUGGAGCUUUUGGGCACUAAUUCUGUCUAGGAACAUCAUUUCUUCAUCAUACUUUUGGAAGACUGUGUAAGACUCCCAUUUGGGGCAGCUUCGCCGGGACGAGGAAGAAAAAGGAUCUUCAGUGGCAGAAUCCCUGCAAUUAAUUGAGCUUCUCCAAUCAGAAGAGCUCUUAGAAGUUGAUCCAACAGUUGAGUCCUCAAAAAUUUCAUCCUCUUUAUUGUCUUGAACUUGGAACUUCUUGUUCUUCAAUUGUGAUGGCCCGAAAACCACAAAAUUUUCGUCACUGGAUAAAUGCGUCUGAUCUGCCCUAUUGAUUUCAGUAUUAUGUUCAUCACAAUUACCUGUAUGAUCAAAUAACAUAAGCAAAUGUCAGGCUGCAAAUAGUACAAGUAUUAGAAGUAAAUCAUGUGACUAGCUAGCUAAGUGUAACAAACUUUAGUGCUUGAAAUAAUGGGACAUACCGUCACCAUUUUUGUCACUUUUAUGUAGCUCUAUAGUUAUCGGAGAUGUGGGCCACACUCGAUCCUUCGCAACAGAAUUGAGAACUGAAACUGUAUCUUUCACGGGGAUUUCCUCCGCACCUUGAUCGUCAUGUUCAGAUUCUGAACCUUGUGAUGACUCAUGCAAAGAUUCAUCGGGGCGGUCUUCAAUUAUUAAGCUCUCCCGUGCGCUAAUGAAUUGGUCUUCGGAAAAACUUUUUUGAUGAUGAUGCUGAAGGUUAUUGUUAGGCAAAAACAUCAGUGAUUCGCCGCCGUGAAUGAUGUCAGCCACCAGAUCAUGAUCAUUUAUGGUACUGCAGUAUUGGUGACCAGGAACAUGAAACUGCCUUUGUUCGUUGUCUUCUUCUUCCUCCUGCUCCUCCUCUUCUUCUUCGUCCGAAAACACAUAGUCUUCGUAUCCAUUCUGGUUUCUGCAAUCCAACAAAUAAAUGCAUACAAAAGGGUGAAGAUUAAGUAAAUUAAAGAAGUAAAACACAAAAGUGAGCAUGCAGUUAAGAACUUAAAACAUAAGGAUAUAUAAUUAAGACCUUGGGAAAAUAGGGUUGCUGCCGACAAAGUAGAAGAGUUUGAAAAGAAAAGUGGAGGAGAGGUAGAGGAAGAGGAGGAGGAGGUGGAAGGAGGAGGAGGUGUUGUAGAAGAGCCUAACUAGUGCUUCCUCAGCUGAACAUGGCAUUUUCUCCUCCGAAAAAUGAGUUUGUAUGGAGCCUCUAGUGUCUCUCCUUCACAAAGCACAAUGGCAAAGUGGGAGUAUUACUCCUUGAAAAAAGUUAAAGCGUGUGCUUUGGUUUGCUUUCAUAAAUACUCUCUUUCUUGUUGGUCGAAAUAGUUUUUUUUCACCAAGAAAUGUUUCGUGUCCUCCAAUAUUGCAAGUGCCAAUUUACCUUAUAUAUGUUUCCUAUUAUUAAUUGGAUAUUUAUAAAUAAGCCACUUAAAUCGUCUAUUUUGUAGUGAAAGAACACGUAUAACACUAUUUUGAAGAAAAAAAACUUUUAAACUUAACUGUUGCAACUGACAUUAAUAUAGGUAAGAGAUAAUUUUCUAUAAUUUGAUUCUUUAAAGGUUUCUACCACCAACAGUUAUUUUAAAUAUUUCACUACCUUCUUCUUCUUCUUCUUUUUUUGUUUUUUUAGGUAAAAGAUAUUGCACAGUCUUGAUUAAAUUGCUUAUGAAAAUAGUUCUUUUGCAUGUGCUCACAUUGUGUGAAACAAAUCGUGAGAAUCAUUUCUAAUGCAGUAUCUUUGUAUUAAAAGAACAUAAACCUUGUAUUUUAGUUUGUAUUUGAAGUAAAAGAACUCCUUUUCCUUUUCUUUUUAUUGCUAGAAUUAAAGUAGAAAAUCCUAUUCUACAAGAAAGGGGCCUAUGCUAUAUCCAAAUAAAUAAAUAUAAGUAUAUAACUAGAAAUAAAAAUAAAAAGAAGAGACCAAAACCAAGCCGCACGCAUUGGUAGACAUGUAUGCAUGCCACUUUUUAAAAGAAGUAUUAAGAUAAUAUUAUUUUCAAAUAAAAAGAAGCUGAAAUAAAAAUAAACAACUUAAAGUAGAUAAUUAGAGGAAAAAAAUGACACGACAUAAGUUUCUGUACAAGGUUUUGGUCAGAUAAUUAGUGGAGGCUUGAAGGUAUUAGUAUUCUUUGCCUCCUAUAAUAUAUAAAGAACCUUUUUAUAAAGCUAUGAAUUAUGGGAGGUAUUGUCAAUUGAAUUUGGAGCUUCUCUUUUGGAAAUCUUCUUGGUUGUUUCUUCUUGUCUUUAACUUUGCCACUAAGAUUUCUGCAGACAUGUUUGUCGAUCCAAUCAGCGGUUGAUUACUUGAUCAGGCACGAAUCAAAUCACCAAAUUAUGAAGCACUAAACUAUGAUUUGUAUUAAUUAAUUAGUUUACAAUGGAUUGAGCUUUUGAAUACAACUUUGUAUCUUUGCUUGAUAAGCUUGAAAAAAAAAAACCCCCCAAUUCUUGGUAGCCCAAUAGUAAAUACAUUCCUGAAUAUAACCCACAAAAAGUCCAAUAUUUGCAUAAUUCUUUGAAGGGAAAAAAAAAAAAAAUCUUUUGGUGCCACAAAUUGGAUUGAAUAACCCACAUACCCAAAGAAAUUAGAGUAAAUUACUUUUUAACUCUUUCUGUAUGGGUGCAAUUGUAACUCAUUCAUCAUCUUUAAAAUAUUUCAAUCUCAUAUACUUACAUAUUAUUUAUUUUCAUACAUAUGUUAGUCAAAGGCUAAAUAGCCAAAAUGGUCACUGAGAUUUGCAUCACUCAUCACUUUGGUCCUUAACAUUUCAAAUCAAUAAAAGUGGUCCCUGAGAUUGUCCACCAUCCAUCAUUUUAGUCAUUCUGUUAAAAACUCCGUUAAGUGUCCCGGAGCUUUUGGCUGGAAGUUAGGGCAAUUUUCAAAGCUUCGUAACUCAAUCGUUUCUUAACCAAAUUCGACCCAUAAUAUAUCAAAAUGAAGAUAGGAAAGUGUAGAAUAAGAUUAUACCUAUUUGGAGCCCAAUGGUUGCCAGAGAUGGCAGGAAAAUAGCCUCAAAGUUGACUGGUCCGAGGAAAAACUGGAAAACUCGUCGGAAACUGGGUAAACUUUAAAUGUUCAUAACUUCUUCAAUACUUAACGAAAUCAAGUGAUUCAAAAACAAAAAUCAUACUUCUCGACGAGAUGAAGAUAAUGGUUCAUUUUUAGAUAGCUAACUCUCCGUGGUUUGGCUGGAAAACAGCUUCCGGCCAUCUCCAGCAACUAUUGGGCUUCCAAAUAUGUAUAAUCGUAGUCUACACUUUCCUAUCUUCAUUUUGAUAUAUUAUGGGUCAAAUUUGGUUAAGAAAUGAUUGAGUUACGAAAUUUUGAAAAUUGCCCAAACUUUCGGCCAAGAGUUCCAGGAUGCUUAACAGAGUUUUUAACGGAGUGACCAAAAUGAUAGAUGGUGGACAAUCUCAGGGACCACUUUGAUUGAUUUGAAAUAUUAGGGACCAAAGUGAUGAGUUAUGCAAAUCUCAUGGACCAUUUUGGCUAUUUAGCCGUUAGUCAAAUUAUCGAUUUGACCUUUAAAUGAUGACAUGACAAAUGUGGGGCCUAUAUUUUUACUCAUGUGAAAGUCAAAUUUGUCCACAUAGAUUAAAAAAAAAUGGUAAAUUACAUCUUACCACCUCAACUUUAAGUCAUAUAACAAACUCAUAUUUCAUUUUAUAAAUAUUACAAUGUCAUACAUCAACUUACGAAUCUGUUGCAAUGUUAGACCUCCAAUAGUCAAUUCGUCAAAUUGGCCAUUAAACGAUGAUGCGGCAAAUGCAAAAUCCAUAUUUUUGAUGAUAUGGUAGCUAAUUUUUCCAUGUAGAUAAAAAAUAAAAUUAUAAAAUAAAUAACUUAAAAAGAAAAUAAUUUUCUGCACGGUUGACCUCUCUUCUCACCUGAACCAACACGCUAGCGUUGUGCUUCCCCCCCAUAAUCCUACACCUCGAGAUCAAGAUAAAUUCACAUCCACAUUCACCGAAAAUAGAGAGCCGCCAAAAACCUACUCCAAAUAGUUGAACUUGAACAAAAUUAUAUCUUGUUCAUCAAAUUAGAUGAGUAAAUGUCUAGAUGAUGGUGGUGGUAGUAGGAAGCCAGAUCGAAUUGACAUUCAAAUGUUAAAACUAAAAAUAAAAAUUAAAUUAGAAGUAGGAAUUUUCUACAAAUUGGGGAUUAGGGUUGUUUGAGAGUGUGAAAACUGGAAGGGAAAUGGAGUUUGCAGAUGAAUAAUUUCUUGCAUAAUUGACUUGAUCUUGAAUCAUACAAUGAUUCAUGGCUUUAUACAGUAAAGGGAAGGCUACUCUAGGUAAAUACAUCUUGAUUGUUUGCCAAUUACAUUACGAUCCUAUAAUUACCCUAAAUGAAUAGUUGACUUAUUUUCUUUCCUUUAACAACCCCCCUCAAGUUGGAGUGUAAAUGUCAAUAACGCCUAACUUGUGAAGAUGCGUUCGAAAGACAGCUUCCCUUGUUGGCUUCGUGAAUAUGUCGGCAAUUUGUUCUCCGGUUUGCACAUAUGCAGUUUUGAUCUCUCCAUUUUGAAUUCUUUCACGUACUGUAUGACAAUCCAACUCAAUGUGUUUGGUUUGUUCAUGAUAUACUGGAUUUGCAGCAAUGUACAAGGCCGCUUGGUUAUCACAGAAUAGGUUUGCAGGUUCAUGAUGAUUAACCCUCGAAUCAUGUAACAAAUACCUUAGCCAAGUGAGUUCACAUGUAGUAGCUGCCAUGGAUCGGUACUCCGCUUCAGCUGAGAACCUAGAAACAAUUGCCUGCUUCUUGCUUUUCCAUGAUACAAGUGCUUGUCCAAGGAAUACACAGUAACCUGUGACAGAUAGUCGUGUAGUUGGACAACGAGCCCAAUCUACAUCACAAUAACCGACCAAAUUUAAUUGGCCAUAUGAUGGAAAGAGAAAUCCUUGACUCGGAGCUGCCUUUAAGUAUUGAAGUAACUUGUGGACAACAUCGAGAUGAGGCUUUCUGGGUUGUUGCAUGAAUUGACUAAGGGUAUUAACCAAAUACGUGAUUUCCGGUCUUGUGAUAGUAAGGUAAAUCAAUUUCCCAACCAACCUGCAAUAACAAGUUAGGUCAUUGAGAAGGUCAUCAUUGUUUCGAUUCAACUUUAGUUCUGGAUCCAUUGGAAAUUUGGCAGGCUUCACACCAAGUAAACCAUUAUCUUCCAAUAUAUCCAAUGUAUAUUUUCGUUAGCCUAUUGAAAUCCAUGCCAUCGAUCGUGCAACUUCAACCCUAAGGAAGUAUUUCAAUGAGCCAAGGUCUUUAAUCCGAAAACAAUUAUUGAGAAAUUUUUUAAGGUCACUGAUUGCCUCUUCAUUGUUCCCUGUGAUGAUCAUAUCAUCAACGUAUAAUAGUAUCACUGUAAAUGAAUUUUCACGGACCUGAGUGAAUAAUGAAUAGUCUGCCCGUGAUUGUUGAAAGCCAAUGUUUUGGAUUGCAGAUGAAAACUUGUGAAACCAACUUCUUGAGGCUUGUUUCAGUCCAUACAAGGACUUGUUGAGUCGACAAAUAACUCACUCCCCCUGUCGACGAUAACCAAGUGGAGGAAGCAUGUAGACCUCCUCAUGGAGAUCCCCAUGAAGAAUGGCGUUCUGGACGUCCAUUUGGUGAAGGCUCCAAUGGCGAACUGUAGCAACCGUCAAGAGACAACGGACGGUGAUGAGUUUGGCUACGGGGGUAAAAAUUUCUUUAUAAUUAAUGCAUUCGCAUUGAGUGAAUCAUUUAGUGACGAGGCGGGCUUUGUACCUUUCAACAGAUCUAUCAGCUUGAUAUUUAAUUUUGAAUAUCCAUUUACAGCCAAUCGGGUGAUAGCCAGGAGGAAGAGAAACCAUGGUCCAAGUGUUGUUGGCUUCAAGAGCAUGAAUUUCAGCAUGUAUAGCUUCAACCCACUGCGGGUCUUGAUUGGCCUGCUCAUAAGACAUUGGUUCCACCAAAUGGGAAAUAUUGUGUACAAAGUGUUGAUGAGCAGAAGACAAAUUAGAGUAAGAGACAUACCGAUGGAAGAAGUACCGCGUACCGAACGUGGCAGCGGAGAUAUUGCCAGAAGCAAGCAUAGAGGCAUGGUAUGCUUGAUAUUGUUUAAAGUGAGUGGGAGGUCAUGUGGUUCGAUUAGAUUGACGAAGUGGGGGUUGGGGAUUAGGGAGGGUGAGCGGUGAUGUUGGUGUUGUAGAGAUGAGGGCGUCAUUAGGUUGUGAGGGUAUGGGUUAGUUGUGUGAUGGGGCGAAUGAAUUAGUAGCGGGGUCGGGAGUCGAUGAAGGUAUGGGAUUAGUGGUUGGAAAAUCUAGGAGUGAAGAGGAAUGAGGCAUGAUUUCAGUGGUAUGGAUGAGAUUAAGUGGGAUUGAGGAAUUGGUGGGAUGGAUUGGGUCAAUGGGUGAUGGGGUAAUGGUUGAUGGGUCGUGGGUAGUUUGGGAUGAGGUGAUAAAUGUGGUGUGAUGUCAUCAUGAGGAAGUGGCAAAGUGGGCUAAUCAGUUUGCAUUUCUGGUGGUGAGGUGGAGAAUGGAAAAACAUGCUCAUGAAAAAUUACAUCCUGAGAUGAGAAAUUUUUCUUGGUAUCGAGGUCUUAAACCUAAUAGCCUUUUUGACCAAGUGGAUAGCCAAUAAAAACACAUCGUUGUGCCAGGGAAUCAAAUUUGUGAAUGGGUAUGAGAUUGGUUGCAUAGCAGAGACACCUAAAAGUUCAAAUAUAAGAGUAAUGAGGUGGUGUGCCAUGUAAUUUUUCAUAGGGUGAGGUGUGCGACAACAAGGGGGUAAGAAGACGAUUUAUAAGGUAACAAGCUGUUUGAAGACUUUCUCCCUAGAAUUUUAAAGGAAAAUUUGCUUGAAAGCGAAUAGCUCACCGCACAUUCUAGAGGUGAUGGUGUUUGCGUUCCACAACUUCAUUUUGUUGGGGUGUGUGAGGGCAAGAGUGUUGAAAAACAGUGCCACAGUCAUUUAAAAAUGAACGCAUGGAGGUGAAUUAUGCCCCAUUAUCAGCACGUAAGGCCUUAAUGGUACAAUUAAAUUGGGUUUUGACCCAAGAGAAGAAUGAUUUCAAUAAAGAUUAUGUCUCAGACUUAAAAGACAUAAGAUGAAUCCAUGUGAAACGAGAAAAAUCGUCCACAAUAGUUAAAAAAUAUCGUGUCCCAAAAUGUGACGUAACUUUGUAAGGCCCCUAAUUAUCACAGUGGAUUAAAUCGAAAUGUGAAAUUGAUUUUAUUGAACUUAGGGAAAAAAAUAAACGAGUUUGUUUCGCUAGUGGACAAAUAUCACAAACAUGCUUGGAAUAAAAAAAUAUUUAUGGGAUGGUUUUGGAUAAGGCUUGGAGAGGUGUAAUGGAUGGAUGUCCUAGGCGGUUGUGCCACAAGCUUGAGGUACGGUUGACGUUAUGCGAUAGGUGUGGGUUAUGGCUUGGCUUGAAGUGAUAUAGCCCAAUAUAUUGCUUGCCCAGGCCAAUUAUCUUCCUCGUAGCCACGUCCUGUAUAACACAAAAAUCAGGAAAAAAUAUUACAAUACAUUCCAAUCUUGAGUGAGUUUGCUAACGGAUAACAAAUUAACUCUAAACUUUGGUACAUGAAGUACUCUAUCAAGAAUCAAAUCAGAGGACAAUUUGACGGAUCCAAUUGAUUUGAUUUCAAUUUGGCUCCCAUCUGGAAAUCCCACAAAAUCUUGUUGUGUGUCUGAUGUAUUAUGUGUUGGCAAUGAUUUUGAUAUAUGAUAUGUAGCUCCACUAUCCACAAUCCAAUAUAAUGUUGAAUGUGAGUCAUGGUGAGUAACAUUACAGGUUGGUGUGAUUAUACCUGUAGCAUUGGUGAACGAUUGGGUAUUACCGUUUCAUUUUUGAAGCAUGGCCAUGAUCUGAUUGUAUUCUUCGGUAGUGAAUGUGGGUCCCUCAGUAGGCAUUGUUUUAACCGGCUGAGGUUGAUUUGUCUGUGCAUUAUGAGCUGAUGGUUUCUUGCCUUUUGGCUUCACAUUCUUGCCAUGAAAUUUGUGGCCUACUGGAAAACCAUUGAGGAAAAAACAAUCAUCUACAAGGUGUCCUCCAUCAUAGUAACUGCACUUUAACUUUGAAGACGUCGUUCUUAAGUGGUGGUGGAACGGCUUGUCUACAUCGCAUGAUGGUUGCUUAAAUUUUCACACCGAGAGGCUACUUUAACUUGUCUUUCUUGCUGAAGGACCAAGGCAUGGACAUUACGUGUGUCAGGAAACGAGUUCAUCAUUAAGAUCGAUCCACUAACGGUAGCGUAAGAGUCGUUUAAUCCUAUAAGGAACUGCAUAACUCUUUCCUUUUCUUCUUGUUCAGUAAGUUGCUUUAGUCCUUCACAGGUGCAAGUGAGAGGAUCGUGGUAGGAGGCUGGUUCAUCCCAAAGUGCCUUUAUCUUGGUGUAAUAGGCAGAAACAGACUGUUGUCCUUGUCGGUGUUUGACGAUUUCUUGUCGAAUCUGGUAAAUCCUAGAGUCAUUACCUUGUGAAAACCUGUCUUUGAGAUCAUUCCCAACGACAGCUGUCGUGUCGGUAUAGAGAAUAUUGCCAGUAAUGUCCGAGUGGACUGAAUUCACGAUCCAAAGCAACACCAUGUCAUUGCAUCGCUUCCAAGUAGCGUAUUUUACCUCUGUGAGUUUUGGGGUUGUGAUGGAUCCAUCGAUCAUCCCAAUCUUAUUCUUUGCGCUAAGACCAAUGCGCAUGGUACGACUCCAUUGUCUAUAAUUAUGUCUGUCAAAAGGUUUUGAGACCAAGAUGAGUCCCAAAUUAUCCAAGUGGUGCAAAGUGAGCGGGUCUGAGAUGUCGAUUGACACCUCUGUGAAUUUCGUCUCACUUUCACCCAUCUGGUUUUGUUUGCAACGGAAGGUGUGGUUGGGUUCCUAGAGGCACCAAGAUCGGUGCUCUGAUACCAUGUGAAAAUUGUAAGGGAAGUGGAGUUUGCAAAUGAAUAAUUUCUUGUGUAAUUGACUUGAUCUUGAAUCAUGCAAUGAUACAUGGCUUUAUACAGUAAAGGGAAUGCUACUCUAGGUAAAUACAUCCUGAUUGUUUGCCAAUUACAUUACGAUCCUAAUUACCCUAAAUGAAUAGUUGACUUAUUUUCUUUCCUUUAACAGAGAGGGUGGUGUGGACAAGCUCUUGAUCAGGUUGGUCGUCAAUGGUUUUAAGGAUGGAACGAAUCUAUGUGAUGUCAGAGACACCGUGUUGCAUGGCAGCGAGGACUUUGGGGUCAGAGAGGUGAGGCAUCUGAGUUAAGGAUGGGGGUCUCACUACUACAAAAGUGGCUUAUUGUGUCGGUGGUUGGUGUCGGUUUUAUAUAAUUGUAGACAUCAAAAUUUUGGUAAAUAAAUGUUGACCGAUAAAUCAAAGUUUCAACGCUCAUGUAUUACAUAAAUUUUACACGUAGCGUGUGUCUAAACAAAAAAUCGAAAUAAGUUAGAAAAGUCAUCAAACAGGACACGUGUCAACACCUGGCAGAAACGACUUAUUUCAUCUGGAAUAUUAUAUUCAAAAUUAGGCCUUGGAAAUUUCUAUAAAUAGAAGGCUAAUUCAUUCAUUUGAGGGAGAACCAAUUCAUAUUACACAUUGAAGCUCUGAAGCUCUGAAACUCCGAAGCUCUUAAGCAUCCAGGUUCCCGAAGAAUCAAGAAAGCCUUCUUCAUUCUUCGUUCAUCGUUCUUCCAAGAUCAAGCCCCAACGGCCCUUUGGAUCAACAAUCAUCCACCAAUUCAAGAUCAAGCCCCGACGGCCCUUGAAGAAAGUGUUCUUCGUUCUUCGUUCAUCGUUCUUCCAAGAUCAAGCCCCAACGACCCUUGGAUCAACCAUUCACCAAUUCAAGAUCAAGCCCCGACGACCCUUGAAGAAAGCACCAUCGUUCAUCAUCCGUUCAUCCAAGAUCAAGCCCCAACGGCCCUUUGGAUCAACAACGUCGACAAAUCCACACAUCCAACCGUUCUUCAAGAUCAAGCCCAAAAGCCCUUGAAGAUCCGUUCAUCACCAUUAUUCAAGAUCAAGCCUCAACGGCCCUUGAAGAAACACUCAUCCUCAAGAUCAAGCCCCACGACUCCUUGAAGAUCCGCUCAAAUCCACCUUCAAAGAUCAAGCCCACGGCCCCUUAAAGAAACUUCCAACAGUUCAUCCAAGAUCAAGCCUCGACGGCCCUUGGAUCAACGAAACAUCCACAAAUCAAUACCUUACGGAGAUCGAAUCAGAGGAUCAAAAUAGAGAGAGAUUGUAACCCAAAAUCAUCAAAUACAAAUAUUAUUUUGUGCACGCUGUUCUUGUCUCUUUCAUUUCAGGAAUUUUCCGUGUUCACAAAUUGGCACGCCCAGUGGGACAAUCUCUACCUCUCAUCUCUUUCUCCGUUCAAGGAAUCCAAACACACCUCAAAGUCAAUGGCAUCAAGCAAGGGACAAGCCCUUCUCGCAACCACUGAAGGAAUGAUCCUAAGCACUUCUGCCGCAAACGGACAAUCCAUUGGCACCACAACCACUCCUCAACAUGCCACUUCAAAGUUGGUGCCGCUAAAAGAGCAAGGGAAGCAUCAAAGAUGUGAGUCUGUCAUCAACCUGACCUCGCUGGGGGCACCGAAGCAUGCUGCUGAGGCACACAAGAUGACAUCCCAAAACAGCCAACGACGUUCUUCGUCAGCAUCUUGGAUGUCUAAAGGAAAGUCACGUCUAUUGGUUAUACAAGUCAUGACCAUCGGCGUUACCUCCAUCGAAGAACAACUGGCUCAAAUGAAUGAAGCAAUCGCAAGGCUAACCCGAACUGUGGAAGAAAAAGACUUGCAAAUUGCAGCAUUAAUUAACCGAUUGGAGGCACAUGACGGCGAGAAACCCGACCCAGAAGAUGAGCCUACGGUGGAGAGAAUCGAUGCGAAGCCGGAGCCAGACCAAGCAGCGGCACUCAUGGGAUCUCUUUCUAUCCAACAGCUGCAAGAGAUGAUCACCAACACCAUCAAGGCACAGUACGAAGGGAGCUCAAAUACAUCUGGGUUGUACUCGAAGCCGUAUUCAAAGAAGAUCAACGCCUUAAGGAUACCGAAGGGUUAUCAACCGCCAAAGUUCAUGCAAUUUGAUGGAAAGGGAAACCCGAAACAGCACGUUGCCCACUUUGUUGAAACUUGCAACAAUGCAGGGACCGAAGAGGACUACCUCGCCAAGCAGUUUGUGUGCUCGCUGAAAGGAAACGCCUUUGAGUGGUACACAGACCUAGAGCCUGAGUCCAUCAACAGUUGGGAGCAAUUAGAGCGGGAAUUUUUCAACCGCUUUUAUAGCACCCGCCGCACUUUGAGCAUGCUAGAGCUAACGAGCACAAAGUAGUGGAAGGACGAGCCAGUCAUUGACUACAUCAACAGAUGGCGCACUCUAAGCCUCGACUGUAAAGACAGGCUCUCAGAAACCUCUUCAAUCGAGAUGUGCAUCCAAGGUAUGCAAUGGGGUUUGCAAUACAUCCUUCAAGGCAUUAAACCACGGACCUUCGAGGAAUUGGCCACCCGCGCCCAUGACAUGGAGUUGAGCAUCGCCCAUCAUGGGAAGAAAGAACCGAUCGCCGACUACAAGAACGACAAAGUUCUUGAGACAAAGAUGGAGAAGGCUACGUGGAAACCCACCAAGAAAGCGAUGACGGUCAACACAUCUCCCGUCAAAAUCUCUACACGAGGCAAGGCGAUUCAAGUCGAAGCUUUUCGUGAUCAAGAGAUGCGUAGACGCACUUUGAAGGAGCUUGAGGAGAAGACUUAUCCAUUCCCCGACUCUGAUGUGGUUGCCAUGCUGGAUGACCUGUUGGACAAGAAGGUGAUCGGUUUACCUGAGUGCAGACGGCCGGAAGAGAUGAAUCGUACCGACAGUCCAAGAUACUGUAAAUUCCACCGCUUCAUCAGUCAUCCGACAGAAAAAUGCUUCGUGCUGAAAGAUCUCAUCAUGAAGCUGGCUCAGAAAGGAAUCAUCGAGCUAGAUCUUGACGAUGUGGUGAAGUCAAAUUAGACCACCAUCACUUAUGACUCUGUCAACUCAAAAUCUUCACCUCAAUCGUUAGGGGCAUGCUCCAAAACCAUGCCAGUCAAGCAAAGCAAAGUUGAAGAAUGGACUCAAGUCACUCCUAAGAAAUUACCCAAGAAGCAUACGUCUCCUCCACAAGUUCGCCAAUCGGAAAGGGGGCAAAGCAGCUCUUGUCAACCUUCAAAGAAAUGUGAACGUGUUAAAGAUGAUGAAAUUGUGACACAAAGAUCGUCCAUUGCCAUCACAAUGCGUGAUUUCUUUCCCGAAGACUUCUUCAAUCACUCGGUCAAGGUUCCUUGCUAUGAAGAUUGUGAGGAACGCCUCUCCAAAAUUGCUUGACAAAAUUCACAAACUCUCCUCGCCCGCACGAGUCUAAACUGCAUGGCACAAAGCUCCUGGUCUGCACAAGCAUAAAAGGCAAAACCAAACACUCCUUGCCUGCACGAGUCUAAACUGCAUGGCACAACGCUCCUGGUCUGCACGAGCAUAAAAGGCAACACCAAAUGCUCAUUGUCUGCACGAGUUGAAACUGCAAACGACACCAACACUCCUUGCCUGCAUGAAUUAAAACUGCGUACGGCACAAAAAAUCCAUUGCUCAUUUGAGCUACGUUUUGACUUGAUCUCUUUCUUUGGAAGGGUACGUAGGUAGCUUGAAUAUUCAAUUUCAAGUUCAGUCACAUCAAAAUAAAAAAUAAUAAUAAGUGUUUUAUUAAAUAGAGUCAAUUUUAUUACAAAAAAAAAUGAAUACAUAUGUUAUUAUGUAUUUACAAAAACAAAAAAAAACAAAAAAAAAAAAGAAAGGAAAAAAAAAGGAAUAUACAAGUAUUUUAUAUAUAUAUAUGUGUGUGUGUGUGUGUGUGUAUAUAUAUGCAUAUACAUAACUACCAAAAGCCCAAGCCCAGUUCUUGGACCUACAGCCUUCAUUUCCUGUAAAGUCCAGGCCCAAGUAAACUCCGUUCCAUCGACUGCAGGGCACCGCCCUCUGGACCAUCUUCCCCCUCUCUGUAAUCAACAUCCCUGCUCUCCGCCGUUUGAAAAAAAAAAAAACCGUUGUUGAGAAGCAACUGCAACCAUGGCGUGCUACAACAAGGUUGCCCCGAGCCCUCUGCUAAAAGCCCAGUGCCGUCAUCAAUUCCUCAUCAUCUCUGUCUCUUUGUCUUCAUCAAAGGCAGCAACGAUUUGAUUAACUCGGGCGACACUCACAAAUCAGCUCGUCCAGACAGUCGUGGAGCUUAAAUUGCAGAACAAAUUCCUCAAAUCUCAGUUCGAAUGAUUCUAGAAUCUUCAACUGCCAAAGCACGGAAGCAAUAACAAUGGGAUCUCGAGCAGGAGAAUGGCGACUGGGAAGUUCCUGGACCUCGAAGGCGGGCAAAGGCGGUGGAGCUCGCAUAAGAGAAGAAGUCUGGGAAGAUGAGUCAGUGCUCUGCUGUAUGCGGGAGUUGCUAGAUUUUUUUUCAAUAGUGGCAGCAGUGGAGGGCAUAAACCAAAUAGUGACCGGAGAAUUGGUGUCUCUCUCAGAACAAGAGCUUGUCGACUGUGACACGUCCUACAACGCCGGAUGCAAUGGCGGUCUCAUGGACUACGCCUUCGAGUUCAUUAUCCUAAAACGGCGGCAUUGACACUGAAUCCGACUAUUUAAUCUGUUGAUGUUGACUAGCACCGAAACCAGGCAGGAGCAGAUGACGGCGGUGCGGAAAGAGAAGUUAUUAGCUAUGGUGCGCACACCCACACCCCACACGCGAACCGGGUCCAAUGGAAUGACUCCGUUUCGAUCUACACCAGGCCCAAGCCCAGUCUCUCCACCGCCUCACACACCGUCAAACACGGUGGUGUCUCCGACCUUGUCUAUUCAAAGCUCAGAAUUGCCAGAAAACCCAAUUGGCCUGUCCCAUCCGGCGCCAGCCACGACAUGCUUAACUACCAAGGCAAUCAGCACCACCGCCACUGCCACCACCUCGACUGGAAAUUGCAACAAUGGUAGUAGUGUAUUCGCACCUUCCUCCGCUUCAGCGUUGAUGACACAGCCACCCCAAGCAUCGUCACCGUCCUCAUUCACCAAUCAAGUAUCCACAUUGGGCACCCUGGAUGGCUCUACCACAACCUCCGCCAUUAAUGAACCCACAUCACUCUCGCCCUCUCCUUCUACCUAUCAGCAGACAACAGCAGCCUAGCAAGCGGCGGUGCAGUUUUUUUCUACUCUGCCCUCCUCCACCCCAAAAACCCCAAAAAAAAUAAUAAUAAAAAUUUCGGUUUUCCGUUCGGUUACUCUGUCGCGCCCGGUUCGGAUCCCGGACGAUUUAUCCCAAAAAAUCUCAGAAAAAAAACCAAAAAAUCAGCCAGAGUUUCACUUCCGGUCCUUGGGUUUUUCUAAAUUUUUAGUUUCGAUCCUUUGAGUUUGCAGAAAAAUCUUCCCAACAAAAAGAGGAAAUUUUGAAGUGAGGGUUUUUUGAUUUUGGUGUGACAUGACUCAGAUUCAAGUUCAGCACCAGCAGCAGCCUCCUGCGAGUGGCCCGAACGUUGUGGCGGCGAACGUCGGCGGUGGCGCCCCUCAGUUUGUUUCGACGUCGCUGUACGUUGGGGAUCUCGACCAGAAUGUAACCGACUCGCAGCUGUACGAUCUGUUCAACCAGGUCGGUCAGGUCGUGUCGGUGAGGGUCUGCAAGGACUUGAGCACUCGCCGAUCUCUGGGCUAUGGUUACGUCAACUAUAGCGCUCUUCAGGAUGCUGCGAGGGCACUGGAAGUUCUGAACUUCACUCCACUAAAGCCCAUGAACAAAGCCAAAAGAUCACCAUCUCCUCCACCAUCGAGGUUGUCCCUGCCUUGCCUCCGCUCAGUUCGAGGGUCUUGGGUUCGAGUUUGUCCUUCUUUGCCUCGCUGCUGUGCCGUGGGACUUGGAUUGCAUCCCUCUCCUCCUCGACGCUAUGCACUACCUCCUCCUUCUUCCGUCUCUCGGACUCGGCCUGGGUUUUCACCCACGAACCCAGCUUGCAGAGAGCACCAUAUAUAAAAAAUAAAUAAAAAAUAAAAAAGAGAAUAAACUUACAAGGGUUUCGGUGCAUCAGGCACCAUACAAAAGAAACAAUAAAAAAAUAAAAAUAUAUUAAAAUUAUAUAUAUAUAUAUAUAUAUAUAUGGAUGGUGCAUCAGGCACCAUACAAAAGAAACAAUAAAUAAAUAAAUAAAUAAAUAUUAAAAUAAAUAUAUAUAUAUAUAUAUAUAUAUAUAUAUAUAUAUAUAUAUAUAUAUAUAUAUAUAUAUGGAUGGUGCAUCAGGCACCAUGUGCCAAAAAAAAAAGAAAAAAAAAAGGGAAUGGUGGAUCAGUCCAUGUGAAAAAUUAAUAUGUAUGUAUGUGUGUGUGUGUGCAUAAUAUAUGUAUGUUUACAGCAAACAAAAAAAAAAAAAAAAAAAAACAAAUGCAUUGAGAGAAAUAAAGUCCGUUUUUAUUUAUUUUUUCUGGAAAUUUUACAUAAAUUUGCAUUAUACAUACUUAAAAAAAAAAAAUCAAAUCAAAUUUACAAGAGGGGAUCUUCAAGGACGAUCAGGUGCCACCUCACCACUCGGCAGAGCUCCAGAAAUGAGAGGCGCCGAAGGUUGACUGUUUGAAGCCACACCACUCGGCGGAACUCCAGGAAGAAGAGGAGCCAAAUGUUGAUCAUUUAGAGCUUCAUUACGCGAUACAGCCCCAGAAAACGAAGGCAAAUGUUGUUGGAACAAACCCACAAACCUCUAAUGAUCAAGUAAAAUCUGACCAUCAGAGUCCUGCAUCUGGUCAAUCUUCCUCUUCAUGUUUGUCGCAUAGCUAUGUGCGAGCUUAUGCAACUGUUUAUUCUCCUGCUUGAGCCCUUUAAUCUCCUGUUUGAGACUCAUCACUUCAGCCGCUAAUGAUUCAACUUGACGGGUUCGAGCAAAUAGACGUUGGGCCAUAUUAGACACAGAACCUGCACACUGCACACUGAGAGCCAGAGAAUCCUUAACAGCCAACUCAUCAGACCGUUUGGAAAGUAGUCUGUUAUCUUUGGGAGUGACAAGGUUCCUGGCCACCACCGCAGCGGUCAUAUCAUUCUUCAUCAUCGAAUCCCCAACGGUAAGAGGACCAGUAGGGGAUAUGAAAGAUGGGCGCCAUAUGUUGUCUGGAGAAGGCGGGACUGCCUCUUCACUAAGAUUCAAAUCAAAACGACGGUCGGAGGGUCCAGACAUUUUCAAAGGUGUUGAAAAAAUAAGAAGUCGGACAAAAUCAAGAUCUUAGAAGUGCACAAAGGGAGUUUCUACAAGCGAAAAUUCAAGUGAGCUUUGAAACGAACUGCGUGCCUCUAUAAAAAAUCAACACUCGACGGGAUUUCAGAGAUCGAAGAGGCGAUCUCAGAAUUCGAAGAGGCCAAUUCAAAAAUCGAAGAGGCAAGACUCAGAAAUCGGAGAAGCAUCUUGCUUUUCCAAACACGUCAGCACCCGUCACGCGCAAAUUCAGCUUUGCGGAAAUCACGGGCAAGUUGUCGAAGCGCCGAUCCCAGAUAUCGAAGAGGCGCCAGUCUUUUUCAGCCUCGUCAGCACCCGUCACGCGCAAACUCAGCUUUACGGAAAUCAUGGGCAAUUUGUCGAAGCGCCAAUCCCAGAUAUCGAAGAGGCGCCAGUCUUUUUCAGCCUCGUCAAAACCUGUCAUAUGCACACUCAGCUUGACGAAAAUUACGGACAAUUUGUCGAAGAUUUCUGAUAAAGAAGAAAGCACGUGAAGCCAUACUGAUCAAUCACGCAUUGGUUGCCGACACGAGUAAAAGAAUAGUACCUCUACAGGUACUAAAGAAUUUCCUAUAACUGUCCACCUUCACCCUCCAUAGCAAGGUAGACAUACAUAACCUUUCUUCAUCUCCGAGAAUGCCUUCCCAACAAAGCCUCUCGAGUCACUCAGUGUUUCUUAUUCCUUGGGGUAUCUCUGCAAACAAAUGACACCAAAGCAAAAGUAUCUCAUAUCACCAGGGUAGAAAGCAAGAGUAUCUCAUAUCAUGCGUUCUCCCUGUCCUUUCCUUUGUCCUUGUUCUUACCUACAAAGACAAGGAUAAAGAAAACAAUAUGCCGGAACCUCCACUCAAACUCCGAUGCCACAUUUGCCUGGAGAACAUAUAAGGCAAGUGAAAAUGAUACCUUGCAGCAUGUGGAGACAACGUGCAGAAGAAACAAGCAGAGAAGAAUGCAGUCUUCACAGUCAGCUCAGCAGAAGGAGUCCGAGCUGAGGAACUCAAGAAGCUGCCACAUCUGCCUGAAGAAACAAGCAGAGAAGAAUGCAGCCUGCACAGUCAGCUCAGCAGAAGGAGUCUGAGCUGAAGAACUCGAGAAUAUGCUACAUUCUGCCAGAAGAAUAGAUAAGACAAGGGAAAAUGAUACAUUGAAGCAUGUGGAGACAAGCACAACAAAGCACGUGCCGAUUCAUCCGUUACUUCUUCAAAAUCAAAAGUAUCUCAUAUCAUCAGGUUUGCAAUCACUCUGGGUGGAGGACUCGUUUUGACCCUCAAAUUCUUGGGUCGACUUGCUAGGCGUUGUGGGCUGCAUGUGCUGUUUCACCACCCUUGGAUCAAAUCCUUAAAGAUCAAGUCACCAACUGGAAAAAGAACCCAUCAAUCUUGAAGAUCAUACCGUUGACCAAACUACUCAGGUGUGAAUUAGAAAGAUUGAACAAAGCAACAAGCCGUCACCUUCACCUCGUGCCUGCUUGCCAUGUGUUCGAGUCAACCUUCAAGAAUCAAGCCUCAACGGCCUUUGAAGAAGUUUCCGGCCAAAUUCAAGAUCAAGCCUCGAUGGCCCUUGAGGAAAUCACAAGUCCGAUUCAAGAUCAAGCGUCCACCAUAUUUGAAUCAAAUCCAGUUCAAGAAUAAGCUGUGGAAAAUCAACAAUUGGAGGAAUCCAGAAAAUCCUCCAACCCAGUUCAAGAUCAAAGCUGUGGAAAGUCAACAAGCGCAACAAAAUACGUGCCGAUUCAUCCACUACCAAAGCCAAAGAUCAUCUACCACAUGAAACUCCUUGUGGUCCAAUUUCAACCUUCAAGAUCAAGCCUCAACAGCCCUUGAAGAAAUCUCCAACCCAAUUCAAGAUCAAGCCUCAACGGCCCUUGAAGAAAUCUCCAGCCCAAUUCAAGAUCAAGCCUCGACGGCCCUUGGAUCGACAUCUACAUUAAGGGACUUCAAAACGCAUCUCCUACACGUGACAAGCACAUGUAUACGACGCGCCUUGAAGUGGGGGCAUUUGUAGACAUCGAAAUUUCGGUAAAUAAAUGUUGACCGAUAAAUCAAAGUUUCAACGCUCAUGUAUUACAUAAAUUUUACACGUAGCGUGUGUCUAAACAAAAAAUCGAAAUAAGUUAGAAAAGUCAUCAAACUGGACACGUGUCAACACCUGGCAGAAACGACUUAUUUCAUCUGGAAUAUUAUAUUCAAAAUUAGGCCUUGGAAAUUUCUAUAAAUAGAAGGCUAAUUCAUUCAUUUGAGGGGGGAACCAAUUCAUAUUACACCUUGAAGCUCUGAAGCUCUGAAACUCCGAAGCUCUCAAGCAUCCAGGUUCCCGAAGAAUCAAGAAAGCCUUCUUCAUUCUUCGUUCAUCGUUCUUCCAAGAUCAAGCCCCAACGGCCCUUUGGAUCAACAAUCAUCCACCAAUUCAAGAUCAAGCCCCGACGGCCCUUGAAGAAAGUGUUCUUCGUUCUUCGUUCAUCGUUCUUCCAAGAUCAAGCCCCAACGACCCUUUGGAUCAACAAUCAUCCACCAAUUCAAGAUCAAGCCCCGACGGCCCUUGAAGAAAGUGUUCUUCGUUCCUCGUUCAUCGUUCUUCCAAGAUCAAGCCCCGACGGCCCUUGGAUCAACCAUUCACCAAUUCAAGAUCAAGCCCCGACGACCCUUGAAGAAAGCACCAUCGUUCAUCAUCCGUUCAUCCAAGAUCAAGCCCCAACGGCCCUUUGGAUCAACAACGUCGACAAAUCCACACAUCCAACCGUUCUUCAAGAUCAAGCCCAAAAGCCCUUGAAGAUCCGUUCAUCACCAUUAUUCAAGAUCAAGCCUCAACGGCCCUUGAAGAAACACUCAUCCUCAAGAUCAAGCCCCACGACUCCUUGAAGAUCCGCUCAAAUCCACCUUCAAAGAUCAAGCCCACGGCCCCUUAAAGAAACUUCCAACAGUUCAUCCAAGAUCAAGCCUCGACGGCCCUUGGAUCAACGAAACAUCCACAAAUCAAUACCUUACGGAGAUCGAAUCAGAGGAUCAAAAUAGAGAGAGAUUGUAACCCAAAAUCAUCAAAUACAAAUAUUAUUUUGUGCACGUUGUUCUUGUCUCUUUCGUUUCAGGAAUUUUCCGUGUUCACAAUAAUAUACUAGCGGAUAAGACACUUUCGACGCCCUUUUUACAUGGUGUUGGAAUUACUAUUGGGUAUAACCACAUAAACUAUCUAUGUCGCUUAUAACCAACAUAGAUUGUUAAUGUCGCUUAUAACCGACAUAGCUUAAUCUUUUUAAAUGGUGGUGUCAUAUAAAAAGAAAAUCGUAUCGCUUUCAACCGACAUAAAGUUAGUGUCGAUUAAAAAAAAAUCGUGUCGUUUCUACCUGACACUAAUAAUUAUUUUUUAUAUAUUUUAAAACCCGAUGUCGGUUGUAGCCGACACUAAUAAUUAUUUUAAAAUAUUUUAAAAUCCGGUGUCGGCUGUAGCCAACACGUUGGUGUUCUUUAUCCAAUGCUCCGACAAGUCACCACAAAAAGACUUGGAUUGCCAGCAUGUCAUUAACUCACAGCUGUUCAUCGUUAUAAAAAAAUCAGAACCAUUCCCUUAUUUGAAACCAAUCCAAUUGGCCACCCCAAAAGCACUUGGAUCACCAACGUGGCAAACCCCACUAUAAAACACCACGCACCAAACCACUCCAUAUCAAAAUUCAAAUCCGAGCGCAUCUCAGUUCCCAACAAUUCGUUUUCCCUCCUAAACGAAUCAUUUUCAUUUCCCAAAAAACUCAGAGAGAAUGGAAGCCACGAAAGCUACCAAGGGCAUUGGCGGAAGAAGAGGCAGAAAGAUGAUGAAGUUGGUGUUCAAGUCAGUUAAAGCUGGCCUCCAAUUCCCCGUCGGCCAUAUCGCACAUUUCCUAAAAAAGGUACGCUACACCCAACGUACCAGUACCGGCCUCCAAUUCCCCAUCGCCCGUAUCACUUGUUUCCUUCAAUUCCCCUUUUGCUUCUAGCUCCCAUUUCAUGUAAAUUUUUUUUUAAUUAUUAUUAAUUAAAAACAAAGACAGAUUAUUUUUAUUUUUAUUAUUAAUAGUUUGUGGUGUCCCUUAUGGGCAACAAUAUAUUGGUUAUUUUAUUUAUUGAAUUGUUAGGUGGCGUCGGUUAGGACUGACACCAAUCUGCUCCAUCCGACAAUCUUUGUCAGUACUUAGUGUUGCUUGUAUCCAACGUGAGCCUCGAUGUCACUUUUAAUCGAUGCUACUAUCCUUUUUUAUUUUAUAUUGCUUUCCUUCUUUGUGGUGGAUUAAGGAGACUAACCGACAUCAAAAGCCUUUUCAUGACGCUAGCAUUAGUGUCGGUUCUAUUAUCCGAUGUUGCAUGAGUUUAUGUCAGAUUUUUACCAAAUAUCCGAUAGAAAUUAUAUUUUCUUGUCGGUUUUUGGACCGCCAGUUAUAAGUAAUUUUGUAGUAGUGUUUGGCUGAAGGGAUGAGCAUCGAUGCAGAUUUUACAGAGGUCGGAAGAGGCGGUGGGACAGGUGUUGGGCUUGGGACUUCAAGAGGGGAGGUGGGACAGGACGUAGGAGAGCAUGGGAAAUUUGGAGAGGUUGUGAUCUAUUGGAUGAGAUGGAAUAAGAUGGGAUGAGAUGGGAUGAAAUCGAAGAUAUGGGGUCAGAGAUACGAAGAAUGAGUGGUGGUUCUUGAAGAAAGUUGAGGUUUCACCAUAAAACCAAUUAGUAAUAUAGAGAGUAGCUCAACUUACUUAUAAGCUCAUGCAAGGUCCAUCCUCCCAUUAAUGUGGAAUUUAUUCUCAACACGCCUCCUUACAUGUGGUGAAUUUUUAAGCCUAACAUGUGGAUAGUACAACGGGGUGAUGUGGAGCACGUGUGGCCGUUCCACACCUGGGACAACCUGCUCUAAUAACACGAAAAAAGUUGAGAUUCAACCAUAAAACCAAUUGACAAUAUGGGGAGUAGCCCAACUUAGCCCAUGUAAUGUCUCUCCUCCAUUAAUGUGGGAUUCAUUCUCAACAGUUCUGUCUGUGUGAGUGAUGACUUAUGCGAUUGGAUUUGAUUGGAUUUUGAAAAAGAAAAAGAAGGAUGUUAGACCAAGUCUCAAAGUUUGCUCUCUUCUCGGCUGCUAGGAAAUUGUUAGAUGUCCGCCAUUACUUUUCUUCUGCUUCUGGACAUCAAAUUAACUUUCAUAUGUCUUCGCUUUAUUUUUCAAACAAUGUUUCUACUCAUGGUAAGGUGACUAUUAGACAGGUUUUGCAAAUCCGACAUCGCCAUUCCAGAGGUAAAUUUGGGACUUCAUAAUGUGGUUUUUUGCAUUGGCGGAUCUAUUAAGGGGCAGUAGGGGUCAUCUGGCCCUCCCAACUUUGGCAAACCUCAAUGGAAAACCUCAAUGCUGCCCAUUUGAGGUUCAGAGUUAUCCUUGAGAUAUGCCCUCUAACUGCUUGAUGGAAUGCCUCAAUGAAUGGGCAGCGCAGGGAAUUGUAUACAGCGUGGAUGAAGGUUGCAUCGUGCCUUUGGCUCCAAUAAUACAUCAGAGUUUGGUGUUGCAGCCUCUGUUUUUCUACCUCUGGAUUUCCUAAACUUGCCUCAACCCGCCAAGGAAUUUCCUAAAGAAAAGUGGAUAAGUCCAUAGCUGCCACUUCCACCGUUUCAAACCCUAUUUGCUUCGAAGUAGUGCCAUCAUUCAUUUGGAAGUGUGCCUUUGAAGCAAUACCAAGUCAUUUUAUACAUUUAUAAAAAAUAAGACCCAUCCACUUGAAAAAAACUUAAGCUUCUAAUUAAUCUAGACAAUAUAAACCCAAAUCUUUAUAAUCUUAAACUCUACCUAAUCCCAAACCAAAUUCCAGAUUUAUAAAAUUUCAAUAUUCAUUGUAUUAAUAAUGAAAUUAUUGUAACAAUUUCGACGAAAACGUGUAGUAAAUAAUUGCCGUUUGUAAUGGACAUUUGUAGUUUGUAAUGCUAUUUAUUCAUAAAUUAUGAAUGAUGGAAUUAUGAUUUAAUUUUUAUGGCUAUUUGUUGUUGAGAAAAUGUGUAUAAAUUUUUACACUUGACCCUAAACAAUUUUUCAUGAAUUCGCCACUGAUUUUUUGCAAUGACCCUAUUAAGGAGAAAGAGCCCAUUCUCUAAGUGCAACAAAAGCUUGCGGGAUGGAACUUACACUUUAAAAGCCAACUAUUUCUAGCACGCCUAAUCAUAUUUUUCCUUGUUUUCCGUGUCCUCCUUGGAACAGCUAAAGCUAUUGAGCAGGUGAGUCAGGAUUUUUCUGGAGUUCUUCAGGGACUCAUCCUCCUAUCGCUUGGACAUUCCUCUAAAGAUAAAGGUGACCUUGGUGUUAGACUUGUGCUUCAUUUUAAUUAGGCAUUGUUGAUUGUAGAAAUAUUCUCUUUUAUAAAAAUACUACUUUCACCGUCUAUUGAUGUCAUAUCUCUAAUAGAAAUAAGACUCACAUGCGUUGACAGACCCUACCUCUAUUAGAGAGAUGGUAGGGCCAACCAAAAUUUGUACUAUCUCUCUAAGUGUAGCAUUACAUUCGUUGUAUAGCUAGCAAUGGUAGAGAUUCUAGGCUUUAAAUUGGGCUUUUGAUAAACCGCUUGUUUCUCUUUUAUCUGAUUCUGAAAGGUAAAUUAUUAAUUAGUCCAUCACUAUUUGUGAUCUUAUUACUAAUAGAGCACUGCUUGAGAGAUUAUAUUUUGAGACUAAAUUUUGAAAACUAAAGAACAUGUAAGUUGAUGAUUGAUGUAUUACUUAGUGUUGAUAGACGUGCUCAUUUCUAUUGGUGAACAUCAUUUAGUUUGCAAUUUUAGUCUCUAAAUUUAAUCAAGUGGUGUGGACUAAUUCGUUGCCUCGUAAGGCUCGUGAGGCGUGGCUUUGGGACUUAAGCUAGUUCUUCUUGCCCUAGGGGCUUUUCCUUGCAAUUUUACUUGCAUCCCAAAAAAGAAAAAAAAAAAAAAACUCACAUAGUCAAGGUUAUGUGUAACUAUAGGUGAAUAAUUUUUAUUGGUCUGAGUGAGUUUCAGACACAGGAAACUUAUCCCCCUUUAAUUCUUACCAUUUUAUAGGGGUAGAAAGAAUAAGUUUCCGUUAUGAUUUAUCAGUCUUCCACUUUAAACUGGACAACAUUUUUUGCUUCCUUUUCUGAAUGUAGCUUGAAUUUAGUGACUUCUCCAAUCCAAUUCAAAACACCUACGAGUUAUGGUACUCAGUAAAAAUGAAGAAAAUUUCAAGCCUCUAAUUAAAAAAGUCUCAUAAAGUAAAAUUUCAAACCAAAAGUCACCAUCCUUACUUUUUUUCUUACAAUCAAACAUGUGUAAAAGGUAAUCAUACAGUGAUCAUCGUGUAAAUUUCAACCCAAACAUAUAAUAAUGAGCACCUCCCAGAGAGAGAGAGAGAGAGAGAGAGAGAUGUUUCUAGUCUUCUAGAAACCCUAUGCAGGAAAGAUGGAUGUAGUACUCCAUAGUUGGAGUUAGGAUUGAAUUUUAUGCGAAGCUUGGAAGACAAAAGGAGGUGAGUGUGUAGAAAAAAUGUAACGGAAACGCUUACAUACUGUCGUGCGGGUUGGUCACCAUUUUAACCACUCUUGGUAAACUUUGCCCACACUAGUUAUAGUUAAUUAAAUAAAUUAGAAAAAGAAGAUAAGCCACCUAUAGCCUACAGCCAACCAUUAUAUACGAAUUGAAAGAUCUUUGAACUGUCAAUUAUGCAAAAUUCUUUGCCGUAAACAAACUAUCAUGAUCAUACGCAGUUCCAAACAUGCAAUCUAAUUAAUUAAAAAAUUUGCAGCAUAUCAAGCAAUCUAGCCAUGAAUGCAUCCAUAUAUAUAUAUAUGCUAUAUUUGAUCUUAUUUAAGACAAUAACCAAACUAAUUAAACUUCAUAUAGAGUGUUAAUCUCUUAUCAGGUAUAUGUGUAUAAGGAGCUGAGUCAUUUCUUAGUUAUAUUGUCAAUUGAUUUUAUAAUAGAACCUCAACUUUCUUCGGUUUAUUUUAUGGUGCAACCUCAACUUCUUUUAUGAUAAUAGAGCAUGCUAACCUAUCAUACGCAGUUCCAAACAUGCAAUCUAAUUAAUUAAAAAUUUUGCAGCAUAUCAAGCAAUCUAGCCAUGAAUGCAUCCAUAUAUAUAUAUAUAUGCUGUAUUUGAUCUUAUUUAAGACAAUAACCAAACUAAUUAAACUUCAUAUAGAGUGUUAAUCUCUUAUCAGGUAUAUGUGUAUAAGGAGCUGAGUCAUUUCUUAGUUAUAUUGUCAAUUGAUUUUAUAAUAGAACCUCAACUUUCUUCGGUUUAUUUUAUGGUGCAACCUCAACUUCUUUUAUGAUAAUAGAGCAUGCUAACCUAUCAUACGCAGUUCCAAACAUGCAAUCUAAUUAAUUAAAAAUUUUGCAGCAUAUCAAGCAAUCUAGCCAUGAAUGCAUCCAUAUAUAUAUAUAUAUAUGCUGUAUUUGAUCUUAUUUAAGACAAUAACCAAACUAAUUAAACUUCAUAUAGAGUGUUAAUCUCUUAUCAUGUAUAUGUGUAUAAGGAGCUGAGUCAUUUCUUAGUUAUAUUGUCAAUUGAUUUUAUAAUAGAACCUCAACUUUCUUCGGUUUAUUUUAUGGUGCAACCUCAACUUCUUUUAUGAUAAUAGAGCAUGCUAACCUAUGUGUUAGCCCAACAGCUCAUGUGCUCCCAAUAUGUGUUGCCUAAUGCUUACGUUUUAGACUUAAAUAACGUCACGCAUAAUUCCAUGAAGGGUGUGUUAAGAAUGUGAAUUUCACAUCAAGAAAUUAAGGGAUCUUACGUGUGUUUUUCUAAGGAGUUGAACUUCUCCUUAACUUGGUUGAGAUGUCAAUUGAUAACAGUAAUUUAUGAUUGAAUGAAAAGGGAUAUACGCUGCAGAUUACCAUGUUCCCAUUGUACUCACUGUAGUAGUAGCGUAGACAGGGUUUGGUGGGUAGAAAUGGGUGAAGGUGGUUGGACUGGAUCAUGGAAUUAAAAACAAAAUACAUGAAAUCUGGUACAACAGAAACAAAACCUCGUGCCAAAAUACUUGCCACUCAUCUUCUACAAAAUUUUAUUUAAAAUGACACAAUGUCAUAUCCACUUUGAUUGAAUCAUUCGUAGUCAAUGCCAAGCCUCACAGACGACUACUAGAAAAUACAUAUACCCCUCCCUUACGUUCAUGUAUAGUAGCUGGGGUGUUUUGGUAAUUUAAUUAUUUGAUUCCAUUAUAAAAUUUGUACUUUUCAAUCGCCAUCUUUGUCAAAGUGUUAGCUGUAAUUAUCAACAUAUAAAAAGACUAAUGUGGCUAAUGACUAUGGCUUCUUCUUCUUGAAGAUUGAGUUUAUACAACACAAAGUACACACCAUUAAUACCUGAUCGCCUUGAGCUUUACUUUUAAGCUAGCCAGCAUCAGAUAUCCGUACCAGGGUUUCUGCUGGCAUCAAAAUCGAAUCCACUUGGUUUGUUUAUCGAAUCAAGAAUGCAAGAGAGUCUUCCUCCAGGUUUCAGAUUCCAUCCUACAGAUGAAGAACUGAUAACGCACUAUUUGUGCCAUAAGGUUUCUGAUGUUAGUUUCACGUCGAAGGCUGUAGCAGACGUUGAUCUCAAUAAGUGUGAACCUUGGGACCUCCCAGGUAUAUAUGGUCAGAUUAUGUUUAUAUAAGUGUAUCAUGUUCAACCCUAUUCUUCUGUUCAUCUGCCUCACAUGUUUGCCUUCUUCCUAUAAUAUUAUCUGAUUAUUCCUAGUUUUCUAUGAUAUUUCAUUCUUCUUAUUCCUUAGAGGCUUUUAGUAACGAUCUUGAUGAUGAUCACAAUCUGUCUUUCUUUAAUUUGCCUAAUGGCUUUGUUGAAUUUAUGUAAGUAAAGCAGUCUUUCCUGAAAAUUACAUGUAAUUCAAACAGGAAGAAAGGAUAGUAUAGGAGCAGAUUUAGGCUUAGCCAAGUUGGCUAGAGCACUAAGUUGAAGCUCUAUCCCCGUUUAGAUUAAUUCAAUUCUUUUUAGUCAAAAUGGUUUGAGAUUUGCAUAAAUCCUCACUUUGGACCAUGAGAUUUAAAAUCAAUAAAACUGGUUUAUUAGCUUGUCCACCAUCAAUUAUUUUCGUCAUUUCGUGAAAAUCACGUUAAAUAAGAAAAAAAAAUGAAAAAAAAAUACCCUCAAUUUUUGUCAAAUUAUUUUUCCAUUUUAAUCCUUAUUUUAACAGAAAUUUUUCAUGAAAUGACCAAAAUGAUUGAUGGUGGACAAACUCUUGGACCACUUCUAUCGAUUUCAAAUCUGAAUGAUUAAAGUGAGAAGUUAUGCCAAUCUCAGAAAGUAUUUUAGAUAAAAAAAAACCUUAAUUCAAUAUGCUUGGAUAAAAAAGAGAAUAAAGAAAACUAUGUUCCAAUCUCUUCCUACCAAAUACAUAUUUCCCAUGACAUUUUUUCGGACUUUCUUAGGUUUACAGUAGAUAUUUUGUUUAAAAAGGAUAGUGCUAUUCGCACACUAUUUUUACCUCUCACACAUUUAUUUUAAUUUUUUGCCGUUGAUUUUUUAAAUUCAUUAGAUUCGAUGGCCGAAAAUAAGAGGGGUGUGCAAGAAGUAAAAUUGAAAAAAUGGGUAUGUAGAUAACACUAUCCUAAAACAAUGCAAUUAGACCUUUAAAAAUUGUUUCACAAUAUACAUUUCUUAUACUAAUUUACCAACAGAUAUACUUGAAUACAAUUUUUCAGAACGUUCUUAAGUAGCUUAAGUAUUCAUACUUUUGAUAGGAAUAUAUUUUGACAGUAACGUAUUUAACCGAUAAAUGCAACUUACAACAAACUAAAUUAUUAUGUGGUUGGUGAAGGCAAGGCUUCGAUGGGAGAGAAAGAAUGGUACUUCUUCAACCUGAGAGACCGAAAAUAUCCAACUGGACUUCGAACCAACCGAGCCACGGAAGCCGGGUACUGGAAAACAACUGGGAAAGACAAGGAAAUACAUCGUACAGGUGUACUGGUUGGGAUGAAGAAAACCCUAGUUUUCUACAAGGGCAGAGCUCCUAGGGGUGAGAAAAGCAAUUGGGUCAUGCAUGAAUACAGACUAGAAAACAAGCAUCCUUUCAAAUCCUCAAAGGUACAAAUUACUACAGAAGAAAACAAUUGGAUCGUUUGGGACUGCUAUCUUAAAACCACUUCUACUGAUAAGCACUUUUUUCUUAGAAGUGCUUACCUGAAAAACAAUUGGAGGUUCUUCUAAAAAGGUGUUUUUCAGAGAGUUAUUCUAUUAAACAUAAAAACUAAGUUUUUUAGUAAAAAAUAGUCAGUUGCGCUUUUGUUGUCAUAAAGUGCCUUAAGCUAUUUCAGAAAUAGUCUCAAAUGCCUUUAUCGAUUAUAUUUAUAAUUCUUUAAUUUGCUAGGUUUAAUUUUUUUAUUGGUUUCACAAUAUGCAGGAAGAAUGGGUGGUUUGUAGAGUUUUCCAAAAGAGCAUUAGUGCAUUGAAAAAGCCACAGCAAGCAACCACAUCCUCCCAUCAGCAGCCGUCGAUAGAAUCUCCAUGCGACGAUACGAACUCAAUCGUUAACGAAUUCGGAGACAUCGAGCUGCCAAACCUAAACAGCAAUAUUAACGCAAAUUCAUCCAGCGGGUUCAGCAACAACAUUUCCUCACCCCCAAGCUAUUACAGCAAUAUUAUUGAUCAUAGCAAGAACAACAUUAACGACGUUACCAACAUGAGUUUGAACAUGAAUUGGGCAGCAACAGCGGCGAGAGAGGCAGCCGUGAACGCCGUUUCAUGGCCGUCAAGCUUGCUAAGUCCCUCAAAUCUUUCGGUGAAUUCGUUGCUUCUUAGGGCAUUACAUCUUAGGAGUAGUACUAAUAAUAACGGUAGUAAUUAUCAACCAAGAGAUACUAAUCAUGGUCAAGCUACAGCAGGCACUAGUACUCUAGAUUACUCAUCAUAUAAUACUAUGCAGCAGCAAGGAAUGAUGCCGUCAAUCUCUCAUCACAUUGGAUCCAGUACUACUAUGGAUCAUAUAAAUUCAAAUUUUCAAGCUUCUUCGUCGAGUAUUAAAGAUCAGAUGAUGGAAUCGAUGCCGCCACAACAACAUUCGGAGCAACCAUUCAAUUUGGACUCCAUUUGGUGAAGCUGUGAACUGUACAGCCUGAUCAAAUGAAUAAGCUAAUAACAUCUUGUAAAGUUCGGCAUCGUUACGGUACUAAGCCUGAGCUGGUUAUGAAACAAAUGCAGUAUACCACAGGGAGAGUAGACUCACAUGCACGUACGUAAAGUUCGAUAAUGUUCCAUAUAUUUAUAACUAUGAUAGAUUAUUAUGUCGAAAAAUAAUAGGGUUCUUGCCCUAGUUUAUGGGUCUGUUUAAUUAUGUUGAAGAGUUAUAGUAUUAUGCUGGUAGGGAAAACUCCCUAUGUUAAAUCUGUACCCUCUUAUAUUAUGAAAACAUGUUUCUCAUGAUCAAACAUCUCAACACAUUUCUCUUUCAAAGUUCAUAAGGUAAUCUACACGAUGAUGGUAAUGGUUAAGAAAAUGAAAGUUCAUCAAUCAUCAUUGACAAGAAUUUUUUUGUCAUUAUUAUAACAAAAUUCGAACCAAAUUAGUAGCUAAAUGCAGAGGUUCGAGAUUCCAAAAAAAUAUAGAUUAUUCAGAUCCACACAAUGCCCUACGAGCGGUUGAUUUAUGUUAAUUAUGUAUGAACUAGAUACUAACCACAUUUAGAAAAAUAAUAAUUAUCCUUAAAUCGACUAAAACAUUGUCAAGGAAUAUCUGUUUACACGGACUUACCUGAAAUGAGUUGGAAUGAGCAUUAGAAUGAAUCCCAUCCAUGAAUUCUCUACGUUUUAUUAAUAAAUAUGAAAUAAAAAAAUACGUAUAUUACAACAUGUAAUCUUCCGGCGGCCACGAUUUUACUGAUGGAAAAAAUCCAGCAGACUUAUAAAAAUAAAUAAAAAAUGCAGCCCAAAUCAUAAUAAACUGCCAUUAAAGACGCAACCCAGACCUAUUAACCGUUAAAACAAAGAAAAACUAAUGAAAAUAGCUUGAAUAACUCGUUUGAAUGUGCUUUUAGAGAAAAUAUUUUUAGGUUUCAAAAGCACUUAAAGUGCUUUCUGCAAAAAGCACCAGUUAUGUGUUUUUUUCAAGAAGCGCUUUAAGUGCAUUUUUAGGAUUUACUUGCAUCUUUACUAAUUAUUGGUUCUAAAAAUAUUUUCACAAAAAGCGCUUUCAGUAAUUUCAAAAGCAUAUCCAAACGAGCUCGAAAACUUUGAAUUUUAACAAAAAUGACAAAAUAAAGGGUAAAGUGAAUAGCGCCAGGAUUGACUUUUUAGUGUAAAAAUAUGAUUUUUCGUUAAAAUAAACAGUAUCAGAAGUUUUUCGUAAAAAUGGUAUGCCUUUUCUUUCUUUGGAAGCCUUUUUGAAAGUGUUUUCCUAUUUGUGCACUUAUGUUAUAUGCUAACUUGAGGUUGUCUGUAGAUUCCCAGCAUUCAGCCACCGACAUCACAUAAUUCUCAGCAGUCGACACAACCAACUCAGCAACCAAGCACUCAGGCUGCUCCCUCGUUGCCUGGUCAAGUUGGUUUACAGGACCAAACAGGGCCAUCGCAGGUCCAAGCUCCUCCAAGAAAGCAAUACCAAAACCAACCGGCAAUGCCUAGUUCAUCAGCUGGUGCUCCAUCUAUAAAUGUGCAGUCUCAGCCUAUGCCUUCACGUCCCCUGCAGAACCCCCAGCAGCCCAAGGGACAUCUAAAUCCUCAAAUGAACCCGACUUUUCUUCCACAGUCCUCUCAACUCCCAAAUAUGCCCGCACAUCCUCUACAUUCUUCUUCACAGCUACCUUCGCUUCAUCAAACCCAAAUGUCUUCUGCUUCCGGGCAGUUACAACGUCAUUACAGACAUCUGGAGUUUCUCAUAUGCCGUUGCAACCACCAUUGCCUCCACAACCAAGACCACCUUAAAUGCCUAACUUCCAUCACCAGUAUCCACCACUGAUGGGGGCCAACAUGGGUUCAGAGUUCAACAAUCAAGCUGGAUCUUCCAUGCAAGUUGAUAGAGGAUCGUGGAUGUCUGGCCCACCAGAGAGUUCGACAGUGCCACUUCCAGGAGGCGGCCAGCCUCCUCACCCCCCACCGGUAAGAUAGCUGCUACGUCACACAUUUGACUUCAGCCGGAGCUUUUAUUUAUAGGUCGAGUUUCCGUAUCAAUCACCAUUUGACCUUUAUGCUCAUUGUGCAGUUGUCCCCUGAGAUGGAGAAGGUGCUGCAUCAGCAGGUCAUGACCCUCACACCAGAACAAAUUAACCUCCUGCCUCCAGAGCAAAAGAGUCCAGUGCUACUGCUACAGAAGAUAUUGCGCCAAUAAACCCUCGUGAAUUUUUCAAUUUUUCAGCCGGAAAGAGGGACAGCGCUUAGCUUCAAUGUUCAGCCGGAAAGAAUCUUUGGAACGCUGCCUAUUACUCGGUAAAUUUUCUUGUUUGAGAAUCUUAGAACUUGACUAUCUUUGGUGUUAAAUCUACAUCCAUUUGUUGUAUACCAAUGUUUUAGAAGGCUCGCCUCAGGGCGCGCCUAGGCGGCCUCUGAGGCUGGACGUGAGGGUUGCCGUCUCUGUUUUGAGGGAGUGGGCGGAAGGCGGUGGAAGGCGUCACCGGAGCCUCCUAGGAGGCGGAGGCGCACCUCAGGACGUCCAGGCGACUCUGUUUAGCUUUUUUUUUUUUUACUCUCAAACCCAAAUUUUGGGUAGGGUUUUAACGGCCUCAUACCUCUUCCUUGCACUAUCAUCUCUCUGCCUAUUUUUUCUGAUUUUUAUUUUUUUAUAUAAUGGAUGUACGUGUGAUGCCUGCAUGCAUUGUUAUAUGUGUGCCUAUUGUGCUUUUCAUCAUCUAUUUAAUAUAUAUAUAUAUAUAAUAUAAUAUAUGAAUAUAUAUGUGAGUGUAUAUUUAUAAUAUAUGCAUGUGUUCAGGAUGAUUAUUGAUUAAUAAUCUUCUUCUUUUAAUAUAAUAUAUGUGUACGCUCAGUGUAUAUAUUAAUAAAUUUAGGUCUCGUGAGGCUUCGGCCGGGCUAUCCCUCGGACGCCUCGCCCACGCCUCAUGGUUUUAAUACAUUGUUGUAUACACAAAUGCAUAUAUUAAAAAACGUCAACUACAAUGCUGUUGAUCAACGAAAUACAUGAGAAUUUUAUCUAUGCUAAAAGCCAUUCUGUUUUAAUGUAGAUGCGUGAACUACUCUCGGAGUUUCAAUUGAUAACAUUCUGUUCCAAUGUUUUGCUCCCUUGCCGCAAGCAAACUCAGUCCUCUCUGAACAAAACUCCGUUGAAUCCAUCUCAUGCACCGAGUCGAAGAUAAUCAUUCACACUUUUAGACAAUCCACCAGGCAGGAUAAUUAGCAUUGCAAGGCUAAUUCGUUACAAGCAUCCCAUGUUUUGCCAUUGUCAACAGUUCUUGUUCACUCUCGCAAAAUGAUCAGCGUUUCAAAAUGGGCGAAAGUUUUAAUCUUCGUUUUCCCAAUCAGAAUCUUCAUCAUUGUCGCUAACAUCUGAAUCCACGUAUGAAUCUUCAUCUUCAUCCUCAUCUUCGUCCUCGCUCUGCAGAUAAGAACCAAAAAUUUUACUCUCAUUGCUUGAUACGGGGAUGGUUAAGGAAAGACAAAAUCUGUCCCAGAGGUGGCAUGCUAAAAAUUUAUACUAAUACAAUCAAUCUGAUUGGAGCUCAUGACCACUAGAUAGUGAAUAGAUGACAAUGAGAAACAGGAUAUCUCACUUGGACUAAUUCCAACGCACGAUGAAUCUGCUCGGGAUCUCUCGAGCUCCAGGAACUCUCAUCUACAUCAUCUUCAGAAAUACCCUGUUCACAAUCAACAAAGCUAUGGUCAUGCGAGUGAACAAACGCCCAUACAAAACCGCAAAAAUGUAUCAUGUAUAUUAUUGGAGAAACCAAAGCUGUAUAGCAACAACCGGCCGUGCGAGAGGGGGCAUACGCUUGGAUCGCACAGUGAACAGAUGAAGAUGAACAAACAUAUAGUAAUCACUGAUUUUAUCAUUAGUGCUUCGGAUAUGUGUUGAAACGAGAAAUUAUAACUUACAACUUGAGAUUUCAUUUGCUCUAUGUUCUUCUCUAGUUCAGAUAUGUGCUGACUGAGAGCCUGCAUGGGACAUAAGAGAUCUAGUGUGAGGUGAAGGACAUCAACGAGAGCGAAAUAUCCAAAAAACUGGGAAAUAAAUUUUUUUUAGAAACCUCAUGGCGUUGCAUGGCCACUGAUCGUUUUAAUGCUUUAGCCUUAGUUAGAAGGUUCCUAGGCCUCAAGGUAAUGGGUCGCCGAUAAUUCUUUCCCCGAUAGUAAAUGAGAGCAUAUCCCUUUGGAACUCUUUCUAUUGCCACAAGUAUACCACCACUCUCAUAUUCCAAUAACCUAGCUGUAUCUUCAACAAAAGCAAGAGUCUUUUGCUUGCUUAUUAAUUUCACUAGUUCUCUGUGCUUCCAAUGCAAGUGCAUGUUUUCGACAACACCAUCAAAGACACCACGUAUGCCUGGUAUAAUAUGAAAUAAAGACCAUUAGUGUUUCAGCUAAAAAUUCUAUCUUCACCUAAAAAAUUAGAAGAUUUCUUACCAAGAGGCAAGUAUGCUUUCAUUCUCAAACCAACCCGGCGAAACAUAACCCGUUCCUCAUCAGUGAUUGUUUCCUGAUCAUAAUCGGGACCCGCAGGAAGCAUUAAUGAUUCUAUCUUGGAGAGGAGUUUCUCUGCUCUUAGCUUUUUGGCUUGGGCCUGCCAAUGAGUUCAGAAUAUCAAACUAAGGUACACAUAUGAAUCUACAUGUAUACUUUCUUCCGCAACUGAGUUAUGUCUAAUGAAUGUUAAAUGAUAUAUUUUGGAUAAAAACAUGUUACAAAAAAGGCACCACUCUAGUACCCGGGUCUUUAUAAUUGAGUCGAUUCAAUUCCAAAACUAUUGCAUUCACAAGGAGUGAGAACAAGACCUUCACAGGCUCGUCCACUAAAAGAAGGAUAGAGAAAAUACUUACAACACCUAGUUUAUGCUCGAUUCGUCUGACAAGCUUAGCAUUCUUAGCUCUUGAAUCUUCUUCAAUCAUCUUUUCCCGUUCUUCAGCAGAUAUUUCUCGUCCCCAACGAGCUUGAGCCUCAUAAAACUCAGCCAAAGUCCCUGCAAGUGCCUGUCCUUCCACUGCACCUGAAGAAGCUGCAUCUAUUGCUUUAAUCCGCAUUUUCUCUUCAACAUCUUGAACCUGUUUCGUUAGUUCCUGUCUUUCAGCCAGAGCAGCAGCCACACUUGUUGGAAGAAAGUCCUUUCCACGGUAAAUGACAAUGUAAUAUUUGUUUCUGAGCAGUAAAACGCCACCUGUUAAAUUCUGCAAAAUAGAAGGAACUUUAAAUCAGUACCUAUUGGUAUUUAUUCCGUAGGUAACAAUCAGAAGAAGAUUACAAAAAAAACCUUAAAACUAUUUGACGAAAGAAGAAAAUAAAAUGUGAUGAGUGCCUCUUCAACCAUAGAUUUGGUAGAAAAUGCAAGGUGGAGGCGCUUAAUGGCAAACUUAUUAACAAGUAAUAACAGAAUUACACAGGUUCCUUAAUUAGAAGGAUGGUGUUUCGCAUUUUUUCCUUGAAAAAAAAAUGCAGAAUAAGCUUGAGAAAGUUGUAACAGGAGAACUAAAAGUGCCACUAAUGGACAUGAACGAAAGGUAAAAUGUCACACGAAAAACACAAGGUUUGAUGGUAAUUAGGACAAGAGACAAUGUUGAACAGACCUUUAUCUCUUCAGCCAUCAACUUGUUGUUUGUAUUCUGGAUACCUCGUUUGACAGCAAUCUUAGCAACAGAGCUUUUCUCCCAAAGUUUAAUAAUAGCCAAUGCCAACCCUUGAUGGUUUCUAUUUCUCCCUUCAUUAAGAAAUUAAGAACAAAGAGUUAUGUCAAAUACUGACACGGUAAACUGAAGAAAGGUACUCAGAAGGAGAAUUAUACCAAGGGCAAAAUGACAAGGAAGCGACUUGGCAAGUUUCCGUAAGGUAGUCAUCUCUGCAUUAGUCAGCCGUGAUCGCAUCCCGGUAGGGAGAAGUCUGAAAGGUGUUUUGUAGCCAGGAAUUGUUUUGGGAAGCAAAUCAGCAUCAACAGGAAGUACUCCUGUACCCCACCACUCUUCAAAACGUGGACCUAAAUCAUCCAAUAGGCUGUGAAACUCAGCUUCCUCCUCCGUCAUGUUAUGAACACGCUCUGGAAUUUUCAAUGCUUGCUCAGUCUUAUCUGGACCUGAAGUUGCAUCAUUGCCACUUCUCAUCACCGAUGUUUCAGCUGAAGAAACAUCUGGGAUAAAAAGACCACCCCUUUCCCCAUCAACAGUUUGGGAUUGAGAAGGUCCUUUGUAGUUACUCCCUCGGUACACAACCAUGACACUUCCUGAUCGCCAUAAAACUAACCCUCCUGUUCGACGCUGACCAAUCACUACAAGCAGUCAGUUACAUUACGAAAGUAAAAUGCUUCUACAUGUUCAUUUCCAAACUCGACAUACAAUUUCAAGCUGCAUUCAGCAAGUAGUGUAAUUUACACUCAACACACAUAUAUAAAAAUGUAAAUUGGUCAUAACACCGCAAAAACUGAAAAUUCGAGAACGGAACAAACCUCAACAAUCUCGUGAGCCGUCUUCAUGUCCAAUGCCAGCACCUCAUGGAACUUGAGCCUCACCAGCUCCGUCUUCCUCCAUGUAUCGUGAAUCUUCUCUAGCACCGCCUGGGUGAUCCCGGCCUUGGGCACACUGAUCCUUUCCCUAAGCACCAUCCCCAUUCUCCUCAGCCGCUUCAGCUCCUCGUCCUCAAUAGUCAAUUCCGCCAAGGACGGAGCUUUCCCUCUCCUCUUCCUCAACCCCUUGACCUCCUCCUUGUCAUUCACCUCCUCCUCCUCCUCUUUCUCCCACGGCAAUGCCACCUCAUCAGCGCUCUUCUCCUCCUCCAAUACAUAAUCCGGCCGGACCCACUCCCGCUGCAACAAAUCCCCGAGCUUCUCCUCUCCGCUUGCCGCCGGCACUGAAUCCUGACCGUCCAAUCCGAUUCCAUCGUCUUCCUCCUCAUCGUCCGACCCUAACCUUAAGUUCCGCAACCGGAACACGAUUCUCUCAAUCGCGCUCUGGCCUUUAUUCUUGUCAAAGUACCGAGUCGAAUCCGCUUUGCCAUCUUGCUCUCGUCCCUGCGACUCGUUGACCUUCUCGUUGACUUUCUGGCGGGGUAAUUCGGCGGGAGAGCUGCGAUUGGGCCACUUGUUGAGCCAAGGAGCGGGCGAGGCGGGCCUGGAUUUGUGCUGCGGGGGUUUAGCGUUCGGAUUUCCGCCGUGCUCGGUGGUUCUGACGGAGGAGGAGAAUGUUUUGACGAUGCGAAAUGACGGUUUUGGGGCCAGGCUGAAAGAGGAGGGCGAGUGAGAGGUGAGUGGGAGUGAGUUCCUCAGUGGCAUUUCGGAAAUUUUCGCGGUUGUGAAGGCCAUUUGCGGUGAAGAUUGAAGUAAAUUGUGAGCUUACUGUGGCUGUUGACGGCGGUGCGCUGUCAUUGUCUGAUUGGUCGGAGCCUUGAAAGCGGUGGAGCGACGGGAGGUUGGAGACGAAGACUCUGUGUGUAGUUUUGGGGGAGACGAUAAGAUUUUCGUGGGAAGAUUUUCGGAUAUUUUUUCUUGUAUAUAUAUACUUAUGGAAUUUUAUCGGGGGCACAUCUGUAAUUUUGGUCGGGGAAGAGCCCUCCCUCUCUCAGGCCCUAAUUUGCAGAGGAUAAUUGAUUUUGGGAGUUUUUUUCUUAAAUUUUUAUUUUUUUAACAAACGAUAUUUUAUGAUAAGAGGUGGAGUAGUUUUUGAAUUUUAAUUCUUUUGAAAUGUAAGAAAAGUAAUUUUAAUUCUUUUUUCAAUUGUAAGAAAAGUUUCUUAUAGUGUAGGAAUUCUCGAGUAUAUCAAUGAAUGAUAUACAUUAUUGAUUUUAACGGUUAAAUUAAGAAUUAACUGAUCGAUAUGAACCAUUUAGCAAACAUAAUUGCAUAAUGGAAGCCAUCAUUUAGGUUAUGAUUGAUUUCAGAAACUAAGAAAAGUGUUAUUCGCACUUCAAAGAUAUCAUUUGCACCCCAAACUGAACGUGAUUGUGAAACAAAGAUUGAUUUUUUAGCCAGGUACGAUAUCCAUAAUCAGAUAUUCAAUAUGAUUUUCAGAAGAUCUGUUUGCGUUCAAGUAAAGAAUUCAAACCAAUUUAAGGGAUUCUUUGAUCAAUCUAGAGAUCUUUUCAAUUCCAUUCGUAACAAGAACAUGCUAUCUUCACCAACGAAACAAUAUAAACUAUAUACAACACGUUGUAUGUAUCUCCCCCGUCACGCGAUAAAUGCUAGCAUAAUGUAAUACAUGAAAGUCAAAAGGAGAAAUACUAGAAUAAUUUUAUUAUUAUUAUUAUAAUAAUUAAUAGGCCUUUGAAUUGCUGCAGAAAAAUAGAUCAAGCAUCAUUGACCAUAUACAAUUACGCAGCAUGAAGAUGGACGUGAACUGUUAGAACUCCAUGUACAUACUCUAUCCAUAAACGUAUUCCUGUUAAUCAACUGAAAUUAUCUACGCACCGGAAAAUAAAACCACGUAAAUUAAAGCUCAAAACCGAAAAAUGAACGGCUCAGAUUCCGGAAGAUCUUCUGCUACUGGAAGGAGAUGAGUUCAGGAUUUCCUGACCAAGCUCCUUUACCUUGUUAAGAAGUAGUACUUGCUCGGUCUCGAGCUGAACCAUGUACCCUUCUUGCGUAUCCUCUAGGGCUUCUAGCUCGCUCAUAGCCGUUGAGAGCCCUUCAAUAUUUCCGUCGUCGAUUAGAGACUGGAACUUCAUCAUCGUUUGUUUCAUCUGAACAAACUCAUGGUAAAUCGCGUGUCAGAAAAGAGUUGAACUUGAUUAAAAACAUUUUCCGUACGAACAAUGCUAACAACGUGGCACAGGAAGAAAAACUAGAAAUGAAAACGAAUCUUCUCACCUCACUGGAAAUUUUGUGUGCUUUGUUUAUGGAUGGUUCAGAAUCCAAACUUGCUCUUUUCUCCAACCCCGGGACUCUUCGAGUGACCAGAACAUGGAUCUCCCCUCUUAUUACAUUCUGAAGGGGGAUCCACUUGUCUGCCGUCUGGUUUGGAAGCAAUCUCUGAUAUUCCACGACGCAAUCACCUAUACUUGAUGACGGUAACAAGGCAUUGUGGUCUUUAACAUGCAAGAAAAGGGGGCUGCCAUCAUCGGGGAAUUCCAAGGUUUGAUGCCAU
rnacentral:lncRNA from 1 species